rnacentral:lncRNA from 1 species
GGUAGAGAAGUGGAUUCGGGAUAAAAAACGAGUAAGGUAGGUGGUGGUGGUGGGGUGAGCUCUGGAUGUGAAAUAAAAAAUGGAGAAAUAGAAGAGGAAAUGCCACAGUGGACAGGCUCAUUAAAUUUAGUUUGUAUUUUAUUGAGCAGGAGCAUGCAUCCACCUGUGAUAGUAACAGAUUCACACUUUCCCCCCUCUGGUGCUCAUGUGUUUUAUAGACUUGGCUUCACUUGGUUUGCAUGUCAGCAGGAUUAUAUUUGAAUGUCAGCUUUUCUCCCAGAAUGCAAAGCAGCUGUGAACAUGUUAGGGAUGGAGCAAUUUGGAUUUUCUACAAGUGUUCCUUAUGCAUUAGGAUGCUGAAGCCUCUAAGCCUUUGAGGAAUCUGGUAUUCACUGGUAGCAGUUGGUGCUGCAUUGCUAGGGGAAAUUAGCAUGAUUCCAUCCCUGCUCAUGAUGGGUCUAUUGCUCAGAGCAUUAUGUAUGUGUGUGUCUGUGUGUGUGUGUGUGUGUGUGUGUGUGUGUGUGUGUGUGUGUGUGUGUGUGUGUGUGUGUGUGUGUGUGUGUGUGUGUGUGUGUGUGUGUGUGGGCGGCACUGGGUUGAUUGGCUGUGAUGACAGUUAUGCUGUUAAUUGUGUCAGUUAUUCUUCCUCUGUGGCUCUUUUCUAAUGUAGUGGAGCGCUUGAUGUAAACCCCCUGGCGUUUUGUUCCUCUCUACAUAUUGGUCUUUUUAAGUCAGUGCAGGUUUUUCCGAGCGGUGAGACACCAAGCAGUGAGCCUUUCUUCUUCCUCCUAAAUUCUUCCCUCUUUUUAGAGCUGAAUUGAUUCAGACAUUUUUUUAUUCUCUGGGCUUCCCCCCGUCUCUUCCUGUCCCUUUCUGCCCUCUGCUUAAUUUGUCUUCCCUCCCCUCAGUGUUUCUUUCUUUUUUUUGUUCCUCUUGUUUCUAGACUAUUGUUUGAGCUGCUGUUGCACUCCUUUCUCUCCCUGUCUUUCUUUCUCUAUUUCAUCAGCCUGUUGUACGUCAACCUAUCUUUCAUCCUGCCUCUCUCCCCCCUUUUGUGUGUUGUCUGGGCUUCAUUUUUCUGCUUUCUAUUUUCCUUGCUCUUGUAUUUUUGAUUUCUGACCCUGUCUGGCAGCUCCAUCCUCCUUUUCUUUUUUUAAAUCUAAGAAAUGUUGAGCAGUCUCAUACUGCUCAGGCGUUGCUCAGGUCAGCCAGUCAGGCCUUAGUGUCAUGACUGCUUAGACUGUCUGUAGUCAUCUGUCUCUGUCUUAACUGACCACUUGAGACCGCCAGAGUCACAGAAGGGCAAUAACAUGGGAUAGAAAAAUUGCAAAGAGCACAACGUCAUGUUCCUGUUCAGCUUUCCCAAACUGUGGAUUGGGUUGUUGCAAGCUUCAGGUCAGACCUCGUAACUUGUGGUCACAAGCCUGUCCUCCACCUCUUAGCAGUGUAAAUAUUGGACACUAAGUAAAGACUACAAAAACAAUGACCAAUAAUUGAACACUGAGGAGGAAACUGUUAAGUUGUGUACAUAAUCAGCAGCUUCAUGAGUGUUUUUUGUCUUGAUUUAACCCCUUCUGGAAGUGUUAAAGUUAACACUAACGAACCCACACCACUGGCCUCUGGUUCUUCUUGCAGCUAAACAUCCUCACGCCUGUGCAGGGGUCAAACCUACAGUCAACAUCCUCCUUUUCUAGUUAAAAAUACAGUCAAAACACUAAGUACUACAAAACCCCACCUGUGGUCUCUGUGUGUUUUAUUAGGGGAGCAGUGCACUCUAGGAUUCUGGCACACUUUCCUCUGGGGCUGCACGAUUAAUCGAUUUUAAAUCUUAAUCUGAUUAUUUGAUUAUGAUGAUGUUAAAAAAAUUUAAAUUGUCAAAUUGAUUUUCCUCUAUAUCAUGUCUUGUGCCUCCAGGCCACAGUAGGCUUCCCCUUCCUGCGAGAGCGCUCCCCAGUUCCCACAUGUACCAGUGUAAUCAAACAUGGUGUUUGCAAAAGAAGGUGGUAGUUUUGUGGCAAAAUAGAACAAGAGCAAGUCAGUUGUGUGGAACUGAAGUUUGGUGAAGUUGUCACUGUCACAAAAAAAUCGAAAUCUAAAAUUUUCAGAGAAAAAAUUCAGGAUUUUAUUUUUGGCCAAAAUCAUGCAGCCCUACUUACCUCAUACUUUAACAGCCUCUCUUUCAGCUUCAUCAUAAUCAAUGUUUUAAUACAGCUUUGCUAUCAAUCACUUGAUAGCAGCAAAAAAAACCAAAUGUCUGGAUUACCAAAGUUGCACAGCUAGUGCAACAUAUUAAGUCCUUGAUAGACACAAUACAGUCUUCAAUAGUGAACUGUACAGGAUAGGAGGCUGUAAGGAAAAAGGUUUAUCAAUAAAAUAUGCAGCAGCAUCUUUCCUUAAUCCUUAUUUUAAACCCUUGAGCAGCUGGUACUGUGUGAUCAAAUCUUUUUUGCAGAUAGAUCUUUUUUUAAACGUGGCUUAUUGAUCCGUGUUGCGUCCAUUUUGUUGUCAAACUCUGAAUGCAAGUCUGCUUUGUCAGGACGAUCUUGUAUUCAUUUCAGGUGAGCUAUUGAUCAGAAGGUGCGGUGCCCGCAUACACAUCACAGCGUCAGGCUCCCUUUUUGACAUUUCUUUCAGGGAUCAGCGUCUGUGUUUUGCAUCUGAUUGACAUUUCUGCAGAGUGUGUGUGUAAACAUGUGGAUCUUAAGACAUUUCAUUCAUUCAUGGAGAUCAUUUCCUCUCCCCCUCUCUGAGGUAAAGGCCUACAGGCACUUUGGGUACAGGUUAUGAAUACAAAUAGCCUAAAUACAUAAAGUGCCCAGCUCUUUCUACUACAUCUGGGCCAAAUUUAACUUAGUGUUUCAGUUAGUGUCAGAAUUUCUAAGCCGUUUAAGUCCAUUUUUGACUCACUUGUUUGCACCUGUUUUAAAAUGCAUCUUAGCACUUUAUAAGCUUGUUAUAGAAGAAAAGUGUCUCAAUCAGCAUGCUUCCUCUGUUCAAAUGUCAGGUAUCUUAUGGAUUGUGUGCAUGAUGAUCCCAGAGAGCAUUGCUCUGUCUGUUAAGACAUUUUCUUACUAUCCAGAUGCUUUUAGAAUAAUGUUCAGAUCCAACACAACCAGCUUGCUGUGUGAAAUCCUGUUCAUCUGAAUUUGGCAGGCGUGUAGAGCCUGACUAAGCGUCCUCAGUCAUGUUUAUUUAGGAAGAGGUGGUGUUUGAAAGAGAAUUAGACUUGGAGGAUUUUAAUGAGACUGCCAGAGCAUACCUCUACAUUGGAGUUGGUGCCACUGAGAGUGUGCUCUGUCAGAUGGCCGCACUGUUUGUGGAGUCUCUGCAGGCCCUUUAUACAUCACAUUAACAAGCAGUGUGUGCAUGUGUGAUUUUUAUCCACCAAGAUCUUUAGGAGUGUUUUUAGGUUAGUGUGAAUAUAGCCCAAAAGUAUUAAGGAAGCAUUAAGUCUGCUUUGAAUCUUAUUACCAUAAGCGCUAUGAUUAGAUUUGUGGGAAUGAGAUUGCACUUUUUCACGGCUCUGUUUACACCUGUGGCUCAGUUUGCUGUUUGGAUACAGUCCAGAUACAGUUUGUGUCUGGAUUAGUGUUUUAAUGCUGGGUGUAAUUGCAUGAGGAGUCCCUGUCCCACUUUGUUUCACCUCGCUGUGUAAACCUCACUACAGUCCUCAUUUAACAUGUCUUUGUAAUAUCUCGAUACACACACGCAUACACACACAAGCACGCACGCUUCGUCUCCAAAAUGUUCUGUAUUCAAGUCUCCUACAUAACAGAUGUGCAAACAAACAGUCAACUUGACAAGGAAUCUCUUGCAAGAAUAUGAUAAGGCACUGGCUCACACCCACGCGUGCUCUCACAACUCCAGUCUUGUUGAUUUUUUUUCUGCUGUUUGCGUUUGCAGCUUGCCAAGAAGCUCAGGCUUUGGACAGACAUGCAGCCCUGACGCGCCUACAGACACAGAGACCUGACGGACAGAGUCCAGCUGGCGAGUCACGGCAGCAGUGAGUGGAACAGAUGUGUGAGGGGCUUUGAUCUAGGUGAGUACCAAAUGGGGGUGAGGAUCUACUGAAAGAGGGGGUGUGGGUCUGUAUCAAUAUCAGGAAAUGACAAGAAUAAUGUGUAUGUGUGUGUGCAUGUGUAUGGGUGGGGCUGGGGGUGUCGGCUAACCACUGAAAAUGUCAAAACAGAAACUUAUUUAUCUUCAAAUGAACUCUGGAGUUUUAGAAAAUUGUAUCAAAAUUCAUGGCAUUAGACUAGAGAUACUCCUGUCCUGAGUGACUAUUGUCUUAGAAGUUUCAAAAAAGGUCUAAUUCUUACUGAACAGUCCUAAUGUGAGAAAACUUUCAAAAUGUAGGGCAAUUUGUUCAACACAGCCAAACACUGUGGCUAACAUUAGCAGAGCUAACACCUCUAGAGUGAUGUCCACAUAAAUGUGCUGGCCAUGCAUUGCUCAGGUUGAGUAGUUAUACGCCUCUUUAACCAGACUCUGCUUUUGUAUAACUUGUAUAACUAACUAGCUCCAUUUUUCAAUCAAUAUACUACAUCUGCAACCUGUGCCUGUUACAUCCAGCAGAGCAUUAGAGCAUCAGAAGCCAGACCUUCAACCCUGGCUACGGUAACAGGAGCUCGUCUAAAGCUUAGACAGAGGUGAGGUUCAUGGCUGGUGAGGCACUGACUUCUUCAUAAUCAGAUUUUCAAACACAUGAAGAGAAGCUUAUUAACCAUUUGAUUGGCAGCAGUUAAUGAGUAAUGUUGAAAAUCUCAUAUCAGCUUUCUUCACAUGUACAAGCUGUUACACACAAAAAGCACAUUUAAUAUAAAAAACGUUAUUAUGGUUUUACCUUUACUUAUAAAUAAUAUUUAUAAAUGGUCUUCCUUUAAUUCUCAUCUCCUGCUUCAAUUGAAAGUCCAGUUUAGAAAAUUGUUUGAUUUUAGAUGUGUAAUCCCCUAUAAGUAAGGCCAGGGAAGAGGAAGAAAUAAACGGACGGCUGCCUUUUCACAGCCAUGUUACAAUUGCUCAGCACAAGAAACACGUUUCAUGCAUACAAUUGUUGACAAAAAAAAAAAAGACUGUACAUUGUAUACAUCAGCUUAACUGUGGAGAUUUAGUUCAUAUAGAAAAAUGGUUAUUUUAAUAACGACACACAGAGACAUAGCAAUAUGGUCUCACUGCAUAGCAUGCCAGUACAGUUGGUCGAGUCAUUGUACUCAUCUGGCUGCUGCCUCACCGCAUGUCUCUUCUCAGAAUUUGGAGAGUAAAUGUAAAAACUCUGCGAUUUUGAAUAAAAAAUCAUCUAAAACUGGUGAAGUUAAAUGAAAAAUACCUUCACAGUGCAAAUCACUGGAUAAAUAUAAUCGUUUAAUUAAUUUUUUUCAUUUUACUUUUUUUUUCACAACCUCUCCUGUCUCCCCUGACCACAUAUUAAUGUUUUCUUACAAGACUCUGUCUCCUUGGUGCCUUUACUGAUUGGUCUACCUAUAUACACAAUGUAACUUUAAAAUAAGUCUAUUGCUGCUGGUGUUAAAGUUUUUUAUAAGUCCAGUCUGUGAAACCAAAAAUACAGUCCUGUCAUUAGAUAUAUUCAGUAACCAAGCUGUACAUGAGUAGCUGCUCUAAAAUAAGAGAUUUUUUUGUUGCUAAUGAAAACCACAAAGACGUGAUCAGAUGGGUACCAAUGAAGCUAACAGUAAAUGUGGGCAAGUUUCUGGUCCAGAAAGGGAAAACAGGGAAAGAGUUUGAAUAGAAAAGAAUUUUUGAUAAAAAGAAGGGAGUGGAUAGAAGAUCUAAAGGACUUCGGUAAAGUAGAGAACAGAGGAUGGUGCAGACACUUGAUCAUAUAAACUGCAGCUUUGUAAGGAGUUUCAGGUUGUAUUCAUGCGUCAUUUAAAAGUGGAAAUUGCACCCAGUUCUAAUAAAAGACUAAAAAGUAAAGGGGGAGGAGAGAGAUCUCCCUCCUUUUUUAGGGGAAAUGAGAGUGCAGGCGGUGAGGAUGUGCCAACAUGAGAAUAAAAUAAAUCCUUCAGGGGAAAUUAUGUGAGCCUGUGUGUUUCACGCCUCCCCUCCAAACUUUUCCAUGUUAAUUAGGUAAUGUAAAACUAGCCAGAACAGCAAGACUCAGAAACGAGAUGAAAAAGAGUGUAAAAUAGCACAGUUAGAGGCCAUAAGACACACAUUUUUCUGUGUGCUGAGGAGAGAAAAUACUAAGCUGUAGUGCAUUAUUGAUGUGACACAUUGGCCCGCUGCUGUGUGCAGGUUUGUAAGCUGCUUGGUUGUUUCACAAAACGCUUUAACAAAGUGAAUCUUGUAGGGUAAAUUUUAAUGACAGGAAAUACCAAAGACACAUUUCAGAUCUAUUCACCAUGUUUGAAGUGUCUUAAGUAUGAUCCACCCUUAUAUAAUCAAAGUGAAACUAGCAUUUCACUCGGGAGUAUCUUCUAACAUUGCUCUAGAAAUGCAUGAAAAUGGAAUCUGUGGGAAGGAUUUGUCAAGGAAGGCUGGGAUGUUUUCAUCACCUCUUUUCUAUAUCAUUGUGCUGGUGGAGUAUUGUACAGAAACAACAUAAAUAUAGUUUUGUAGAUACUCGGCAUGCAGUGGACUUCAAUGCUGUUUUAUAGAGAGGCCAAGGAUAGAGUCAGUACUGAAUAUAGUGAAUACUGUGGUGAGUGUACACAUGUAUGCAAAAGUAAAAGAUCAGCUUUACUUACCCCGCAGUUACAGCCAAUUUGCUGUGAUCACAGUGACAAGUGUCUCCAUAUGGAUACUUAGUAAUUAGCUAAGAGGAGAUGGGGAAAGGUUGAAAUUGGUGGGGCAUCAGAGGACCUGUCAGAGUGCCCCACUCAUCUUGCCUCCCCCAAAAACCUGUCAAGAGACUUGUCUGGGGCCUGUACCCCUCAGUCCCCUCUCUUACACUUGGCUGCUCCAGUUAAUUGAAGCCACUUCAGAUCAGGCAGAGGAGCUGGAUCUGCACGCCUGAGAGGACCAUAACGCUCACCUGACCUGUCAGUCACCACUGCCUGCAGCGUGCAACAUGUCACUGCAUCCCAACUCAUUUAAGACUUGAAGCACGGGGGACCACAGGAAAUUCUCAGAACACACCCACUAAACCUACCUGAGUCAAUUUUACAAGGGUGAGCAUUUCUGAGUUUUAGACAGGUUUGCUACCUUCAGAUUUUACUUACUCUUAUUUAGACUGAGAUUGUUACGGUCUUUAAAUGAGGAAUAAUUUACGGUGAGCGGGUCAUUGAGACAGAACAUUCUGCUCAAUAGUCUGCCUAAUACAUGCUUACAGGACUACUAAGACAAAAAUCAACAUUUUAAAUAGAAAAUUCGAUUUGUGUCUUUAAAUUAUUUAGUAUUUAAAAUAAUCAGCUAUUAUAAUGACAAAAAUAAAAAUUUUGGAUUUCUUUUGUGAACAACCAGCUGUUGAAAAAGCCCCAACAGAGGAACUAUCCCUGUGCCAAACCACAUUUGAACACAGACUGUAUAAAGAGUGGAUGCUGCCUGCCUCCCCGCUGGGUGAUGCCACCAUGAGAAUAGCACCAACUGGUGACGGGCUGCAGUAUAGGUUAUAAAUCACGCCACCUCCAGCAAUCCCUAUGGAGCUGUGGACAAACUUUAGAAAUUUAUUACACAGAAUAUAAUUUUUCUCCCCCGGUUGUGAUAUUGACAUGUAGUUACAGUAAGACUGGUUUGUGCCCAAGUUCUUUUUUUUCUCUGCAGCUCCAUUCUCAAAAGUUAUUUGGGGGGUUCAUGUUUUCUAUGAUUGACACUUGAUACAGCCUAUGGGUGUACGAAGAUUGCGUAGCUCACCGGGGGGAUAUGCUGUUUGAGCCGAGCGUCAUCACAGCGACUCUUGGUGACUUGGUGACUGGGGCUUGAAAUAUUUUGACUUGUGGAGCUGUGGAGCUGUCGUGCCUUCUUCUUUUUUUUUUCAUACAGCCUGUAAACUGGACAUUUCCACUGCUGGUGAAGUGAAACAGUGUUUUGGUUACUCUCACAAUUAAAUUCAAACAGCUGCUCAGUAACGUCCACACAUUCUGGUUUUAAGGUGCUUUGUGUAGUUAGAUCUUUUUCUACAAGGAGUGACCCUGAAAAGCCAUUUUAUGACAGCAAGAAGACUAAUGUUGUCAUCUGGUAUUUGCUGAUGCUUGAAAAAGCAAAGUGAAACUUGAAGUCCAGAAGCAGCAAAAUGCUUCAGCAACACUUUCUAAACUCUGCAAAAGCCCCGAGUCCACAGAGCGCUGAAGUGACACACACUGCAAGUGGAUUUGUUUUGACUAAUUUUCCUCCCUCGUGUCUUUUGUUGAUAGAUUACAGCUGAAUUGAAAAAGUGUUUGGGUAUCAUAGAAGCCAGCAUUGCAUGCGUAAAGCGACUACUUCUUCCAUUAUUUGGACCAAAACAAGCCCACUGUGGUUUGUAAAGGCCACAGAAAAGAUACUCUCAUUAUCCCUGCAGAGCAAUUUGUCCUUUUCUUUGGCCACAGCUCAUGCUUCCAAACAUGAGCAGCAGCUCUUAAGGGGGAAUACUGUUUGUUGUCACUACCUUGCAAAGGUUUUGACUAUUCCAAACACAAGCUGUAGUAAGUCUGGACCAGUGCAGGUAUGUAAAAAAACUAGGUUGAGGUAAAGAAGUGAGCUUAGAUAAAAAGAAAAUGAGUAACAGAGGAGUCUUCACUGGAGGAGGUGAUAGGACCUUGCCACAGAAUAUUUCUUAUAAGGAAAAUGUUCCAAUGUAGAGGCUCUAGUGUGCUUUAUCACCUGUUUCUGGACCAUUGCACUUAAUUUGAAUGAGUCUCCACCUUUAUUGUCAAUUUGAAACAUCUUUAUGAGCGAGCACAGACCAAAAUGCCUUUGGACACUUUAUUUUCAAGAGGAGAGAUGACAUAAACUAUCAAAAUAGCAUUAUAUUUUUAUCUUUGCUGCUGAGAUACUUUUAUUGAUAAGCCACAGCCAAAUGUGGGUGUUUGUAUUAAAAAAUAGAAAGAAGCGCUAUGUAGAUUAGACUCGUUGCACCAUUACUUCUUGGGGUGACACUAAUGACAUGAAUGAGGGUAAUGUGGACAGCGGUUAAUUGGCUGAAGAAGAAUUUGAUGGCAGCAAAGCAGCAGAAGGAGAGGUUGGCAGGAUACAGCCAUACGUGAAAAGAAGUUAAGAGAUGCAUACGCUACUUUAACACCAAAAAGAGGGAAGAAGAAAAAAGGAGAGAGGAAGGACAAAGCUGUGCCAGCUCUUUAUGCAGAGACGAGACGAGUCAGAGGAUGCACCCAAGUCUGCCCAAGAGAAUUUUACUCACCUGUGAUGGUCUCCAGAGUCUUAUAUGAUAAUUACUGCCUAGUUUAUUGACAGCAUGCAGAGAUACACUCGGAUGUGCUGCACAGGACUUAGAUCACCACUUAUAAAGCAGAGGUUUUACUGAAGGCUAUGAAAGCUCAUUGGUAAAUACUCUGCUGCAGUUAUUGACAUAAUGGCAAAUACGGCUGUGGCUGUUACAGGUUUUGUCAUUCAGAGUUUAUAAUUGAAAGUUAAUGCAUAAAAUAUGAACAAAUUCACAAAUACAAGCUGGAUUGGUUUACCACUAGUUCAAGGCCUACAGUUAGUUUAUAGUUUUGUUCAUUUAAUUUACAGACCAGAAACAUACAAACCGUUUUAAAUUUGUGACUUAAAACCAAAGUAGUAAAAAAAAUUCCUCCUAACAUUUCCUUUAAAAGGGCUGUUAGAUACCAGGACAUAUUAUUUGAUCCUCUUGCAUUAUAUAGAAUAUUCCAGUAUUAGUGCAUCGAUAUAUUAUUGUGAUAGUGGGACCCAGUAUUGUGGCAUGUUGUGUGUUAUCGUCUCAUGAUGCAUCAAAUAAUGUCAUAUUGUAGUGUUUAUUUAUAUCAUAUAUUAUAAAAUUUUUCACAUCCAAUUGUAUCGUGUCUUGUAAUAUCAUAUCGUAACCUUUUAGAUUGUAUAUUAUAGUAUAGGGAUGUAAUGAUACACCCAAUUGCAGAUUCAAUAUGAUUCCGAUUCUGGGUUGACGAUACCAUUUUCUCUCUGUUUUUAUUAUUUUUUUUAUUAUUUUUUUUUACAAAAAUUUAUGCUGACAAAUUAUGACUGAAAAAGAUUCUUUCAAUUAUUUCUCAGGACAAAAAACAAACAAACAAAAAAAAACACAUUUCUGAGGUAAGGUGUAACUUGAAAAAACAUUAUGCAAUGAAUGCUUAUGUAAAAAGCAUUAUUAUUAUAUAUAUAUAUAUAACUACAAAUUCCAUUGUCUCUUAUCUUUAACAAAUUAAUGAGAACCCUCUUUUUAUUCCUCUGAGGUAGAGCAAACUGUGUAAUACAAUGUAUACGUCCUCUUAUUAAAGUGCAUUAAACAACAACAAAUAGAAAUAAAUUAAUUGGGUUCGGAUAACUACUGUUAUACUACUGGAAACGGAUGUCAUCCAGGCGCAGCUCUUGAAGGAGACAUGGCGGUAACAUGGCGAAGCCUACAUCUCUGACAGUUGUGGGCCUUUUUGUGUGUAGAUACAAAUUAAGCGAGUGAAUGAUUUUAUUCGUGCUUGGUGUGAACGCACGGUAAGAAUGCUUACAGUGUCCCCAACAUCAUGGAUUUCUGAGUUAUACACAGGCAUUUCACCAGAAGUCAGUGCUGAGGAGCACGACUUCCACCGCUGGUUGCUGUUCGGGAUAGCAUUCAAUCACACCCAGACUGGUCUGUACAUCCUCGACUUCAAAAUCAUUUGCUGCCACUGUCAUGUCUCUUGCUAUGUCUGAAUCAGUGACACAUAACACCAAACAAAUAACGAUGUUGAUCACGUGAACGCACCCUUUGCUGUUUAAAAAGGGCACCGCAAAUCAUUUUCAUUUCAGCCGAUUUGAUUUGAUUUGUCACACAUUUGAGUUGAUUUUUAACUGUCUCGUGAUUCAUUGUAACAUCCUUAUUAAAGUAUCUUUUUAUAUCAAAGCACAGCAAAUCAUACUGUUUUGAGGCGUAUAUAACUGUGCUGCAUUGUAUGGUAUGGUAUAAUAUUGCAUCAUAUUAUAUGGCAUUGUAUCAUAUCAUAUCUUUUCAAACUGAAUGAUGCCGUGUUGAAUUGUAUGAUAUGUUUUUAUUGUAUCAUGUUGUAUGUAAUAAUAGUAAUGCUGCAUGAAUUUAUAUAUACAAAACAAAAGACUGCCUACUUGGUUAAAAGGACUACAUCUGCUUUGUUGUUCAGUCAUUGUGGGCUGUCAAAAUGAUAUUUAUUUCAGAGAAUGAUUUGUUAUAAGAAUUGACACAGAUUCAGUACACAUUCAUUAUCAUACGUCACUGAUCUUACAACUAUCAACACUCACUCUACAAAGAUGGCAAAUACAUAUGCUGUAAUUUUAAUCAUCUUUAAUUUCUUGUAAUUUUGCCAUACCCCAUAUUCUUUGUAACCACAGUCUUACUGAAAAUGUUGCAAUGCUGUGUUAUAAUGCACAUCUAUCGUCCACCAAAACUGUUUCCUUAAUCUUAACUUUUGUGACUUACAAAUCAUCCAACUGAUGAAGAGAAAGGGAGACAAAGAGGAAGAGGUGGGCUAGGUCAAGCAGCUGUGUGCAGGGAGCACAGGUACAGGUGUGCUUCAUGUGUGCAGGAGUAGAGCGGGGAGAGGAGGUGCUGAAAGAAAACAAAACUAUUGGUUUGCAGGAGCUUUCAAUUAAUUUUCAGUUGCAGAAUAGAUUUCAACUAAUAUAUGAAAUAAUUGUGGUGUAUAUGAAAUAUAGGUAAAAUAUCUGUGAAUUAAUCAAACUCACUAAAUUGCCAGUCCUAGCUUUAAAGUUUUUUGACUGGCUGGUAAUGUUAUUACAUCCCGUAUUUUCUCUGGAAAUGAACUCUAAGUGAUGUUGUAAUUUAAAGUUAUUCACUCAUUGGCACAACAGGCUGUUGAUAAGCAUGGCAGACGCUUUACAGUUUGAACCUAAAGGUCUUCCACUUGAGGGAUUGUCACUGCAACACCCUGUUGCCCACAAAGGGGAAAUGUAUCCAUCACUAAUCCUGCUGGAGUUGUGCAGAGUUGAACACUUUCCCUUCGAUGUUGUUCUCUGCUGUUGGUUCUGCAAUGCUGCCUCCCAUAACACUGAACACAGGGGAUGUGUGAAGUAAAACCACAGGGAAUAGAUCUUUCUGAGACAAGCCACUCGGGAGUGAACGUCUAAAAUGAGAAGUGGAGCUUGUGUAUUGUUUUAAAUGCCAGCCUUGUCCUCGUUCAGUGUGUGAGCCUUUGGUUGUAGCUCAGUCAGCUGACAUUUAAUGCUCAGCUGUUUCUCCGCUGCUUUAGUAUAGGCUUUAUUGUUACCGGCGUGAAUAUGAACGGACAGAUGUGACAGCUGGCCAGCCAUAUGUGACAAGCCUUUUAGAUCUUUAUGCCUUAAUUAUCUCCUCCUGUGGGACCAAUAUUGACAUUUUAGGUCUUAACAUUCAGACCUUACAAACGGCCAGCCUCCAGUUGGCAUUAUCCGUCUCUUGGCAACCUCCGAGCCAACAGAGAAAGGUGCUAGAUUACUGCUCAGGGCUAAAUUCCUCUCUGUCAGAGCUUCAAAUUUUAUCACACUGUUGUAAAAAUCAUCCUCAAAUAAUAAGUAUGUCUAUAUUUUCAAGAGGUUCUCAGGUAGCAAGGGGUCAUUUUCAUUUAAUUUUACAGUCAGGCCCUAAGAAGUCAUUAGAGGCUCUUACAAAAGCCUAAAGAUAAAACUGCAGUGUUUCCCCUAUAGUGUAUUUGGCAAGGUGCCCUGCCCUGCCAACGGAUACCCCUGCCCUGCCAACAAGAUCCCAACACAGAAAUUGAAGUUGUGUAUUAGUAUACGUUUAAUUUUUAUAUUUAUCAAAACAACCCAUAAAAUAUAAUUGCGUAAUUUCAAGGAUUCAAGGAUUCAAGGAAUCUUUAUUGUCCCGGUGGGGCAAAUCGCUUUUCAGACUCUUAAGCUCACGAUCGUUUAAUUACUUUCAAGAAAAAUUUACCUCUGUGCUCCUCUGCGAUGAGUGGGGCUCUCCUCUCGCUCCUCUCUCUAGCUCAUACAUGCAUGCUGACAUGAAGCGCCAUGUGUUUCAGAGGUGUGGCAUGUCAGCACCACUGAUUUUGGUAUUCUGGUUGCGUGUGCUCGCCGCUCAUACCCUGCCAGUUUUGCGCAGGAUGGUUUUGACCCCCCCCCCCCCCCCCCCAGCGUGAUGCAGACGCUGCACAGUCUUUUGUGGAUGCUAGCUUAAGCGCCGCUCCGAGCCUUGAAAACAGCGCUGGCUUAUCACCCCCCACCACCCUUUAUGAUGUAGACAUUCAUCAUACAGGGUGGUGGGAGAUGAGCCAGCCAUUUUUAACCGCCAACCAUAUAAAUGUUUGUUCCUCCUGCAUACUCAGGAUAGGAAGCUCAACCGCUGCUACGCUUUAGCAUUACAUGCAAGAGGUCAGCAUUUCACUUGACAGAGUACAAACUGCUGGAAUCUCAUAAAAAAGACGCUCCAAUCAAGUUAACUUCUACCACAGGUGCAUUAUAAGCUUUAAGACAUGCUGUAUAAUGUUAAAUAAUCACACUCACAUACUUUGAAUUUGUUUUAGUCAGUUCCCUCUGCUAACAGGUCUCCAUUAAGGAGACUUUUUUUUGUCAGCCAGUGGUAACAUCUCAGAAGUCUUGCCAUACAGAACAACUAUCAGUUAAAAUGUACUACCCCAAAACACUCAGUAAUGCCAACUGGGACUGGAUUAAUAUAAUCAAAGGACUUCUCUCAUGAGUAUUUCCACUUUACAAAUUACAAAAAUGGUUUGGUUAAAAACACAGGCAUCCUCUGCAGUUAUUUCAAAUGAUCAAAGGUUUCCAGGUAAUACUAAUCCUGUGCAAAAAGGGCUUAGGAUCGCUUUCCUUAAGAUUGCAAAUAAUUAAAUUCCCAGAACUUUGAAAAGCUGUAAUGAUUUUAAUGCCUCUGGAUAAGAAGACAUUAAAUUGGGAAAUUCAUAUUUCAUCGUGAAAGCUCUAGUGAGAGGUUUUCUUGACAUUUGUGAAUAACACUGAAAUUCAAGUUGAUGUCUUUUUAUCAUAUCCAAAAACAAACAAGAACAGUGUGAGGAGGUAGGAGCCACUGAAGAAACAGCCCUGGUUUUACAAUUUUAUUAAUUGAAUUCAGUCUUCCCACCCUGAAUGUGAUUUUAUGUGUAAAUGGCAACAUAUAAAAAUGGCGUGUUUCGAAAAUAUAAAACAGUGGCUGAAAUAUUUACACAACUCCAAUCAGUGUCAGUGUUUCCAUUGUUGUGGGUAAUGACAAGGUUUAAAGUUGUUAUUCGAAUAUUUUUUCUUUGUUUCAUUUCUGCCUCUCUAUCUAUUCCCCAUCAGUGUCUGCCUCACCUGGGUCAUCCCACACAUUCUCAUUUUUCUUGUUAUCCGAGGUUCUAAUUUCAGUUGCCGCAGCAACCCUGCGGCUCUCUCCACUUCCUCCUCCUUCCUCAUCUCUGUGAGAUCCUUGUUAAGCGUGGCAGAGCUAGUUAAUGAUUGUGUUUUAUUUCUAUUUUCCCUCUGGUAGGGCUCCUUUUGAUGGGCCUCACAUGUCUUGACUCUUGUCUGUGAAGCUUCUUUCAUUUCAUGUCUGUCUCUCUUGCCUUUAUUUGUCCUUCCUUUUGUUCGUAUUUAGGGUCUGUCUUUGUGGUUUUCUGUUUUUCUCAUGACACUGCGGGCUGUCACUGUUAGCUGUCAGUCAUGUUGUAAAUUGUGGUCAGUCAAGGACACCGGGUGGACUGUGACAGUUUAUCCAAUCACAGCCUUGGAUGUAAAUGAGUUUGCUCAGUGUGUCUUGUCUGAUUGUUUGCUGUUUAUGCUGAUCAAACUCUUGGUUCGCCAGGAAGAGCUCACACUGCUGCAGCAUAAAUAGAGUACGGGAUGCAUAAAAAAAUCAAACUUUACACAUUUGGUAUUUUGUGUUCCUUAGACAGAAGAGCAGUUCUUUUGGUGUCAUUACAUCCCCACCAUAUGCGUCCUUUUCACAGCACAGUUUGUUGUUUACUGUCUCAUCUGUAACUGUUGGUUAUGUAGGAGUUUGCUUUAAAAUCUGAGUCUGCUGUUUCAGUUCCUCCUGCAAAUAAAAGAUGUCUUUACUGUGUAUUUUAAAGUAGAGAAGCACAAAUAUUUUCAACUCACAUGCAGACUUUAAAACUACAUUUUGUCCAUUUGUUAGCGACAGGUGCAUUCCUGUUUCCAGGCAUAAUUAUCACUUUGAAUGUAGUUAAUAUAUUUACAUAUAUUUUAAAAGAAUUCUUUACAUGCUCAUGUCCUGCUGUUGUUCACCACCAGUUUUAAAUCUUAUGGACAACAUUUUGUAUUUAGAGUGGUAGUAUCAUGUUUGUGGGAUAGGUAAUAGAAAGAUGGGAUUUCACCGCAAAAAUACUAGGUCAAAUUGUUGGAUGUCAAUGAAAACCCUGGGCAAAGUGUCACACUGUGAGGGAAACUAGUAGGAAUAAUCUUAGGAUCUUAGAAUAUAACUCUAAACAGCUUGUUGAAAAAGUCACAAAAAUGAAACGUAAGGGACUCGAGACUUAUCCAAUUUGUGAUGUCACCAAUUGGUGGACCUCCUUAAAAGGAACGUAACAAAUAUAAAACUUGCAGAAAAGAAGCAUCCUGCUUUGUCCUUCAUUGCUGGGGAUUUUCUUGUAUAUUCAAUAAUUUGUCAUAUUUAAUAGAGAAACACGUGUUUAUUCAGUAUUUGUGACUUUUUAGCAUGGCAACAGCGAAGGAGGCUUCUGUAGAGCAAGAACAUUAGCUAGUGGACAUACUCCCCUCUCAAUUGAAUUGGAAUACUACUUUUUUUUUUUUUUUUUUUUUUUUUUUUUAAACAAAAAGUUUUAAAACAGAGUUUUAACUCAUCUGACAGCUAUUGCUUUUGCCCCAACCUAUGUGCACCUUUACAGGUAGCCUACAUUUAGUUUAAAGAUCAGCACAUCGAACUACAUGGAAUUGGGAUGAUACAUGUUUUUAUUGGCCCAUGUCAACUCCUGUCCAAUUAGAGCUCAUGUCAGAAACUUUUUUUCUGGUCAAUUUUGGGGCCUCCUCUGUCGAUGAAGUAGUCGUAGCUCAUCUUAUCAUCUACAUGCUGAAGUAGUGUCCUCAGACAAUAGUCUCAUUCUGCUGACUGUUGAUAGUCAAAUGUUUAAUUUAAUCUGAAUGAUUAUGUGGAAAUUGUGUAAUCUUUCUUCAGCUGCUUGGCAAGACCCCCCAGCACAAAUUUAACACAUCAAGGGUAUGAUAUAAACAUACAUAGUCUUGUUUCUGUUGGUCUUACUUGCUUCUGUGCAUGAUAAAAUAUAAGUUGUAGUCUUUAUCAUAAAUAUCAAUAAAGUUUUCACAGGAGCUUUAACACGUACUUUGUGCUCUUGUGCAGAUGUCGAUUUAAAUUUAAGAAUUUAUGAUUUUUGUUUUUAUUGCUACUUUAAAACACUUUGCAGAUUGCCAAUAUAUUUUUGAACAUUCAGGUCACUGGAAAAAAAAUCCCUGAAACUAAACUUCAAUUUGAGUGAUUAAAUUUACCUGGAGAAUUAACUUAAACUGUUUACCUGAAGAUAGUUUGCCAAGAAACAACAGCUGUUGGGACUUAACUGUCUGGCUUAACACCUUGAUAAACACAGAUUUUGUUUUAGAUUUGUUGCUUAGUAGUUAAGCUUUCUUUAAAAAAUAAUUCACCUGAUCAGGUUUUAUUUCCUCUCUUUAUUCCUCUGAAUGUACUCCUUUUAUUUAUUUUGCACAAGCUCCUGUGAGGAGUUUCAGUUAUGUUAUGAAACACACAGAAGUUUCAAUCAGAGCAAACAAGACCAUCAGCAUAAAAACAGUCUGUUUCCUUCUAGCAAAUGUUGAUGUCUUAACCCUCCUCCUGUGUUAGGGUCUGCACCGACCCGUUUUUGUUUUUAAAUGCUUAAAAGAACCACUUAGAUUGGCUUUUUUGCAUUAAGACUUUUUGACUUCGUCAGGAACCUCUAUUUCAACAAAAUAAAGAUAAAAAUAUUAAAUUGACUAAAUUAUAAAAUGCUCUUAUUCAAAUUAUGGCACUUGUCAUGUUAGGGUCGCGGUCAGAUUAAUAUCUAAUAAUUAGAGCAAAACUGAAAUUAUAAGUGCACUCUCAGGCAUCACACUGACAGUCAGAUCCUCUUCCAAUCAUGUGAGAUUUAGGAAAUUCUCAUUUUGCAAUGUUUUUCUCUGCACAAAAAACAGCUGGCAUGUCCAGACAUGUGCGAUCCAUUCAGUAUAGAUAUCUGUAUGAGGGGUAUACUGACACAGAAAGGCCCAAAGGGCCCACAACAAAAACUAUUAUAAGCAAUAUCUUCAUGGAUAAUGAAACCUAACAAGGUAAACUAGAGAUGAGAACCAAGUUGGAUGAUAGAGAAAUGUUUUUACUGUAAUUUGCAGCUGAUUUAAGACACGGGUUGAAACCGAUCCUUAACAUAGUAGGUGCGUAGUAAAAGCUAACACAGGAGGAAGAGUAAACAAAUUAUGGGGGUAUGUGCCAGUUGUACAGAGUAGCUGCAAGCCCCUGAAGCUGUGUGCAUGUAUCUCUCAGUGUGCUGUCAAGGCUUUAUUUCAUGCCAACAAUAAGCUAAACAAUAAACCAUUCUUCCCUUCUCAGUAUCUUGAACCCCCUCACCAUGCCAGCUUGACAUUUGUUUGUAAAUAUCAUAGUUAAAGACUGUAUUUGAGAUACGGUAAUGUCAAUAAAGACCACAGUAGGGUGUCUAAAAUUGCCAGUCUUCAGGUUGUUUUAAAAUUGUACAUGAAUGUAUCCUGAAAUGCAAAGCCUUAUGGGUGAAUGAAAAUUAACAGUGGAUGAAAAUACAGCACUUAGAAAUUCUGUGAUUGGCUCUGAGGAAAACUCCUCCUUUUGUCUCUCAGGUUACAUCUUCAAGAUAAAUCCAUCUUGCUUAUCCAGAGGUACACGGACCUGAAUCUGAUUUGUUUUGACGCCUGUCUUCCUUGUUUGCUCUGCUCUCUCAGUUUCUGUCAGUCAAAACAGUCCUGAAUCUGUCUUUUUUGUUACUCCUUUUCACAUUGGUUGUAUUUUUCUGUGGACAAAGAAUAUUUGUGUUCAGAUAUGUCUGUGAAAGGAGAAAGCAGACUCGAUUGGUCUGCAUUAUUCCACACUUCUAAGUCCUCCUCCUUGUAUUUGUAUGAUAUUCAUCUACAUAGUUUGGGAUAAGCAUUGUCGGGGUCCUUUCUGUGAAGUUCUUCGCUUGUUUUGUCUGUUUAUCUGUCUCUGCGUCUAUCACCAUUUUGGCAUCUGCUGGAGCACAGGAAGUCUCUGUGGUGCUUUUGAAUGGCCGUUGAGAGACGGGAAUGUGCCCGCCUGACUCAAAUGACUUCAUUAGAGAGCGAUAAUCUCAGGGGGGGUCUCCACCAAAAGACCGCCUGAUAUGGCUGAUUUGCUGGGGCCAUUUAUGCAAAAGGAGAAAUCUGUGUAAUAGUUAAAGUGAGUCAUUGUAAAUGGCAGAAGAGGUGCUUGACGCUGAGUUCAGUGCUGGAAGUUUGGUAGUUGUGGGAGUGCUCUCAGAGAUAGUGAAAGAGAGGAAGAUGAAUGAGGAAGGUUUGGAUUCAGAGCGUAACUGUUGGUUACGGUCCCAGAGAUCUGAAAUGUCACUGUGUGUGUGUUUGUGUGUGUCUGUGUGUUUGGUAGUCUAGCGGCUUUAUCUGCCUGGCAUUUCCUGCUUUCAGAAGCGACUACAGCACCCGGUACCAUCUGAUGACCCUCCAAAAGGCUCGGCCCUGCACAGAAUAUUGAGGGGAACACAUGUAACCUUAAGAGGACUCAGGGAGGCUUGGAUUUGGAGGAUGACACACUGGGUUUUGUCGCCUUUUCCGACACCAAGUUAUUUUGUGGGUGUUAUCUUCAUAGUGUCACAGGGGUUCAGAUGGUAUUCUGCCACUAUGACUUCCCUGAGACUCUUGUGUACUGGUAAUAAACUGAUCUAGAAUCAGACCAGCAGCUGAUUAAUACAGAUGAUAUGACACGUUCACAGCCGUCUGGCACGGACUCAGAGCUGCAACUUUGCCGUCUUUUCCACUUCAGUUCUGCGAGGAUAGAGGUUGACAUUUAGGUGCCAGCAGCCAAACAGAGACGUAAGACUGCAGGCACUCGACGCCCACCACAAUCUCUACUGGGGUUCUCCCGAGAGUGCAUAUUGAAAAUGUCACCAGAGAACCGUAUAUUAACACGGAAACUAUUCAAAAUUUUAGCAUUUUCAAUUUCGUUUUGCAGCUUCAAAUGAAGUUACACAUGGCUAUAAUGUGAAAAAAGUGUGGUUGUUGAAUUGAAAUGACACUUACAUGGAUUAUGUUUAUCAUUUGAAAGGUGCAUAACCAGCAAACAAGGUGAGAGAAACUCAUCUAAGUUUAUCUCAUGAGCCUAUUUUAAAAGUUUUCUCCAUUUCUUCCUGUCACACCAUUUAAGCCUCAUCUGACAGUAGUAUUUUUUUCUUCCCAUUACUGGCAUUUCCUUUUUAUAAUCAAGCCCCUGCUUUGACACUCUUCAUUUUCAGCUCCUUGCUGUAUAAUAUAUGUGCUCUUAAAUGUAUAGAUAACAAUGUAUGAAAGGUGAGGAGAUCACUUAUGGCUUUAAAAGAGGAUCUAUCUUUUAUACAUUUAAUGGAGAGCAUUUAAAAUUCUCUCUGAAUAUAAAUGAAUGAGUAAGUGUGUGUAUAUGUGUGUAAAUGUGGUAAUUGGGAGGCAGAGUGACGGUGGGGCACACACAGGAGUAACCCUUGUCGUACCAAGUGUAACCCAUGGAUAGAGCUGAACUUAUUAGUGGAGCUACCUUUCCUCUUCCUUCUCGUUCGCUGAAAAGAGCAACAGCGAAGCAACGAGACAGAGAGCACUGUGUGCACCUGUCUGCACAUUUUUCACUGCACUCUCAGACUUACUUCCAUACAGUGGAGGUGAACUAAUGAAUUUUUGGACCUCCAAAAAUGGCCUUCCCAGCUAAUGAAACAUCUGACAAAGAGUGGAAAACAUGAACUUUCUCAUCUAAUCAUAAGUAAGAAACGGUGUAUUUAUUCUUAAGGCAGUGUGUUGCAUAAUUAAAGAGAUGAUGUAUAGUGAGGAGUUGGUGACGCAAUUAAAAUACUGACAGGUAAGCAGGACCCCAAUGUGAGUUUCCUUUUAGGGAUCAAUAAAGUUCUUCUUAUCUUAUCUUAUGUGAAGAAAAGCAGUUACCAACUAAGAUAUGAACAAAUUGAUCAAAUAUUGAUCUCAAGUUGGUUUUAUUGAUGAAAAACGGACUCUUUCCUCUCCCAUUGCCAGUAACGCUUCAAUAGUAGCACAUUUUUACCAGCAUCCCACUGGGGCAAACAAACAUUGAAUUCAGCGUUUCAAUUCUUGGUCAAUCUAAAACACAGGCAUGCUUAUUUGUCAUCAUUUACAUUGGAAUGGAUAUUUCCAGUAAAGCUAACUGAGCAGGAUUUCAACAGACUCUUCUGUCCUUAUUCAGCUUUCCUUCUCAGGCUUUGUUUUUGACAUGCUUUUAAACAUAAACUACAUGGUGUCAGGAUUUUUAGCAUUGUUGCAAUGAUCAUAACUGCUUAUGGUUUAAGUGACUUUCCAACAGGUCAGGAUCUUGCUCCACUUUUCCCUCUCAGAGAUGGUUAGGGUCGAUUAGCUCCUCAGGCUGCUUUUACAUCUUUUCCCGGUAACUUUCAUUACUUCUCAAGGCCAGCUUGUGUAAAAGCAUGAAAAAAAACAUUUUUUUGUGAUGUUUUUAUCAUAAAUGAAUUGGGCCCUCCUAGGGCUGGGCAAUAAAAUGAUCACGAUAAAUAUCUAAAAUAAUUUCCCUCAGUAUCAAUAUAAAAAAUGGUCAAUAUGCUUACAGCAACAAGUGUAACAUCAUUGAGCCCCGAUCGAAUGACCUAGACAUCAUGCUGCCCAAAAUUAUAAAUCUUUUAAAAGAAAAAAAGAGAGGAAAGAAAAAGAAAUACAGCAAAAUGAGGAGAGGCAGCUGCUGACUGCUUUCUUUCCCAAAGGUGAACCCAGUUUGCUUGUUCUGCAAAGUCCAAUCAAAGUUAACAUAGGAGUAGCAAAAGAAAACCCCUUCUCCAUCUCCUCUGCUGCAGGUUCAGCUCUGAGUCUUCCUCUACAUGCUGCAUGAUGCUGUAAAUUUAAAGUAGACCCCAUAUCUACAUCCCUCAAUACAUCAGAUUCCUCAUCCACCGCUCCACCUAUCUACUGCUCAACUCUAGCCCCCUUUCCCUGCUCACCUGUGUGUCUGUCUGUCCCCCUCAGUGUCUCCCCCAGCUAAAUGGACGGACUCUAAUCAGAUGGCCCUUCCUCUUACAGCAAAGACAUUUCCUAUUUUCAGAGGUGACAUCAAUGAGAGUCAAAGUCAUCAACCCUCAGAUGACAACAGAUUGAGCUCCUCAUUCUUCUUGUUAAGGAUCAUCUAGACCAGACAUCCAUGAGAGACCACAUGGCUCAGUUGGGUACAUUGAAGAAGAUCACCUUCCUAGAUGGCAGAGAAAGAGGAGACACAGAUUUGAAAAAAGGAUGAUAAGAAGGGUAAUUGAGAGUAAACAACGAGCACAAACCAAACAACACAAAGAAAGAAGACAAGUUAGAAAAACUAAUGCUCCCUCAGAGGUCAACUAGAGAAAGAGAGAGAGAGAGAGAGAGUGUAUAUGUGUAUAUUUAAAUAUGUGUGGAUAUAAAACAGUGGAAGUCUUUCUGUGAUCCAUGAGUUUUUUAUGAGGUAAAUGAAUGAUGGUGCAGUUGAUUUUCAGGACCGCUGCAGCUUUACUAACCUUUGCUUGUUUGCUUGAGAGUCUAAAGUUCCCAUUGCCCCUCCCCUUCUCUGAUUUUAAAAGAACUGGAUUUCCCCUCCCAGAUCUGAUCACCUGAUCAGAUGUACAGUCUGAGGAUGGGUGUAACCAACAUAUACUGAGCUGACUUGAGAUCAGAAUUCAGAAUAGUUUGACCUCUCGGGAAAUAAAACUCAGCCAUUCGUUGACAGCGAGUGUUGAAAUGGCGCAGAAAGGGGUUCAUCUGGACCAGAAAUCUUUCUCUUGUUCCAUCUGUUUGGAUCUUCUGAAGGAUCCGUUGACUGUUUCCUGUGGAUACAGCCUCUGCAUGAGGUAUAUUCAGUUCCACUGGAAUACUGUGGAUGAGAAGAAGAUCUACAGUUGUCCUCAGUGCAGACAGACCUUCAUACCAAACAUGGCUUCAUCAUGUGUGUUUAUUUACUAGAUAUUUAAUUUAAUUUAAUGCGGUUUCAGCUGUGUUGAUGCGGUCAGGUUGUGUGUCCAAACACGAGCCAAACGCGCUCAUCAGAUCAGAUAUAGAUCAGAAUAUAUCUAUAUAGAUCUAAAUGUGCUGACUCAGAUUAUUAGUUGUUGUUGAUUAUUUAUUGCACUGAAAUGUGCCCGACGCUGUGGAAACCUGCCGGUGAGGCAUCGGUGACGUAUGUCGAUACGCCGCCGGUCUACCAAAAUACCACUAGACCAGCUGCACUCCGCCUGCGCUGAAAGCUGACCAGGUUUGAAUCAGCAAGCUUUCAGUGCACUUUACACGCCACUGGCGAGCACGAAAAUGUCACUGCGCCCGCUGAUUCUAUCGACACCUCCCCCUGCCACGCCACCAUGCCCAGAAAAUAGAGCCCAUGGUGUCAAGUCAGAAUUUGGCGCAACAAGCAUGACCAUCUUUGUAUGUAAACAAACAGCUGAUUGUUAGUUUCUUGAAGAUAAAUUCCAGUUAAUUUCAUAAAUAUCAAAAACUCCUUACCGAAGCUUUAAAUUACAGCUUAACAACUUUCAACGUGUGGUUUUCUGUCUCUGGUCUGGGCUCCUCCAGCAUGAGAGAAAUCAGGUGGGACAACUGCAAAAAAGCAGGGAUAUAUAUUCUCCCAUAGUCCAUCUCUGCUGUUGUGUGGAAAUGUGCCAGUUCUGACCCCACUUCUUCUCAUGAUGGCACCAAGAUUGGUCUUAAUCCUGAUACUUCAGCACGCUGGUAUGACCGUUUAACAAGUCAAGUGAUCAGCUAAUCUUAGUUGGCUGUGUUGGUUUGUGUGAGUGUGUGCGCUUGUGGAUCCACUUCAGUUUGAAGUAGCUGGUGCCAACAGAGGACCAACAGUGGGAGCACAACUACUCAGUAAAAGUGUAUUAGCUUUUUCUUGAUAUCCUGUGCAUUGAUCGUUUCUUGAAACAGGACGAUAAAAGGCAAAACAGGUGUGUCUCUUAUACCUGUCUUUGCUGUCUAUCCUUUCUUCCAUAUUUGGCAGUGAUUUGUACUUUGAUUCAUUUUCCCUCUGAAAACAGGUCUUUUAUGUCGCACCCACUCUACUUAUCCAUUUUCUUUUGCACAUGUGACUAACUUUGUAAAAUGACAUCUCAAAAAACCAAUGACUUGUGCAGCUGCAGGCUAAUUCAUCAUUAUAGCAGUUGGAAAGAAAAAAGGUUGGAAGGUCUCAUAUCUAAAUUACUCUUUCAUCUGCUUAUCCACUUUUUUGGUAUUUAACAUUUUGAUUUUAAUUCACACUUUACAUUCAGUGUUAAAUCCAGUUUAUUAUUUGUACAGAAACUCCUAUAUAACUCCUAUAUGCAGAAUCCUCACCAUUAGGAGUUUGCUGUCUUGCUGGUACAGUCAUUGAGCUCAGCCUUUGGAAGCUUUGAUUGUUUUGAGAUACAGAUCCAUGAAGAAUUUUGUCAAGAGUUAGACCACUCGCCUGGACUCUUCACUGUAUGUCUUCCAUUGCAAAGUCCUUUCAGUCAGACCAGGUUUACUUACUGAAAUGUUAGUGUCACUUGGCCACAGUGGCGUACAGGAUGCAGCCAAACCGACCAAAAAAAUAAAUAAAUAAGUGUGUUACAUGCUCCAAAUUUUGACCCAUAGAGACACCUUUUUUUUCUUUCUUUGAAUACACCUAAAACAGUGGGAUCAUCUUUCUUUCAGGCAUUGGUAAGAAAACCCUCUAGAGGGUCAGCUCUUUGUACAUGACUUAUUUUAUUGAAAUUAAGUUGCAAAUGUCAACUUUCCAGGUCAAUGCCUGAAUGAAAUCAGUCAUUCUUAGUGUUAGGGGGAAAACUGUAAGCUAUUAUAUUUGAGGCAACAUCACUGUGCCAAAGUAACCUGAUUUGAUUUCAGUUUGCUAUUAAAAUGGAAAACUAGUACAGGAGAAGGAGUUGACAAAAUCUGAAAACUGUCAUGAAACACUACAGAUGAAAGUUGAGGAAGUUUUCUUUCUUUUUCAAUCUUAGUAUUUCCAAAUUCCAGCAGUGGGAACCUCUGGAUCUACUACUGCCGCAAGUGUACAUGUGAUAUCACUACUCUUACAAGAAAAAAGUAUACCUAAAGUACAUUUUAUAAAGUAUACUUAAGUUCAUUUUAGUAUACUUCUCAAAGUAUGCUUUGUACACUGAUACAAAUAUACCACCAGUGUACUUAAAAGUAAACUUCUUGGGACCAAAUUGGCUCAAUUUAGUUUAUUAAAGUACGCUUGAAGCAUACUUGAAAGUAAACUUAUAGGUAUACUUACUAGUAAUAAACUUCCAGUCUCUUUUAGUUUAUAAAAGUUCACUCUGAAGCAUACCUUUAUUAAUAUUCUUUGUUUGUGUGUGUGUGUGUGUGUGUGUGUGUGUGUGUGUGUGGGGUAGGGGGGGGGGGGGGGGGGGCAGACGGACAUGCGGCACAUGGUCAGAACAGGAAUCAAACUCGUGAUCACAGUGAGGACCACAGUUAAUCUACUCGGCUAUCUGCACUCUGACUCUGAAGCAUUGGUAUACUAUUAUUUCAAUAGUAGUACAUAUUUGUAUACUUGGCUUUUACUGCUUAUCUUUUUAAGAGUACACUCAGAGAGUAUACUCUUAAAAAGAUAAAUGAAAUAUUCACUGACCAAGUAUACUUAAACCUAAGGCACAAAUACAUACUUAAGUAUAUCUGGAACAGAAGUUUAUGUCUAAGUAAAGGUUAAAUAUAUUUAGAGUUUUAAUAUAAUUCUUAGUACAAGCCAAGUAAACUUAAUAAUAACUGUGAAGUAUAUCUCUGAAAAGUGCAUAAAAAGUCAACUGAAAGCAUACUUAGUUUAAACACAGUAUACUUGAAGUACACUUCAACAUACUUCUUUUUGGUAAGGGUAGGUUUCAGCAAUUUGCUUUUGCAAAAUUUUCUAGACACUUUAUGUCUCCAUAUUUUAAAGAAAAAACUGCCAUCUUAUAAAUAUAUUUUGCUGCAUGUUACAUACAGCGUCCUUGCUGAUAGCCAUCAGACAGGUUUUCUUAUUUUCUAAGCCUGUUCAUACAGAUGGAGUAUCUUGUCUUGUGUCAUGCCUCCGUAUCCGAAAGCUGAAACCUGUUGGUGUGUAAAGGUAUUGACUGAGUGCACACAUGACGUACAGCACCCUCUGUGAAAAGCAAAAGGAUCAGAAGAGAUUAGACAAGCGGAGGGGAUAAAGAUAGCGCUAAAGACAGGCUUUGUUUUUGGCCCCCUUAUGAGCCAGGGCUCCUGCUAAUUACCAAGCUCUCUGGUCCUUGCUAAAUGUGUUUGAAAUCCACUGGAUGCAGAUAAUUGAGCUGGAAAUGUGUUACAUGACAAAGUCACGCUGAAGGACAACCACUAAAAAAGGCCUCCUCUCCUCUGAUUCCCCCUCUGUUUUGUCUGUCAGGCUCACUUCUGAAAUGAAACUCCCAUCAAAUGAUUCAUUCCACGGCGUUUGUCUUUGUUGUUUGUCGAGAUUGAAGCUUAGGGGAUGUUUGAGGCACCUAUUGUGAUAAGCUAGAGUCAAAACAGAGACAGGCUGAUGGCGAAUGUGUCAGACAGGCCUUGAGUUUUCUUGUUGCCCAAAUAAUUGCUUUUAGCCCUCAGUUUAGGGAUGUGAGCCUUUAAAGCUCCCACACACAUAAUCAUAGCAAAGUGGAAAAAAUGUUUCUUGGCCACAGGCAGGCACGUGUGUCCAUGCAGCUCACUUUGUACAGAUUCUGUUAAAGCCUUAAUCUCAAAUUGAUUUCAGUGCUUGGUAUAAAAAUUGAUUUACUGACUGGGAUACAUUGAUCCCAGGCAGAGACCCGCCUCCCCCGAGACUGUUGGAGUGACUGUUGGAGUAAAAUGAAAACAAGGUAAAGAGAGACUCCCUGUUGUUAAAAUUAGCAUUUUAAUUAUGAAUUGCAUCAUUGCACUGAGUGUGGUAACAAAAACAACUCCCCUGCCCUCUUUUCACUCCUCCCUUUUGCUUCCAGCUCGACUGGCUUCAUGCGAAUGAAACUUCAUGCGGAGCCCCUCUGCAGGGCGGGAAAAUAAACGGGCAGGCUUAUACGUAAGAGCACAGCCGGCAGCCAGUCGCCAGCAGCAUGGAUGAAGGUGAAAUACGUUUAACCUCAGUCACUGCACAAAUAUUGUUCUCCAUCAGCUUAGUUCAGAGGAAGGAAGACCAUAUUGUCAAAGAAGAUUUCUGUUUUGAUGGUACGACGGACUGUUUGAGAGGCUGUCUGUGUUUGAGAAGAGGACUAACAGAGGAAGAGAGGGAGAGUGCUGUGGACUGCAGCCAGUAUCAUUUUGUCAUUUAGAAAGUGCUUUGCUGUUGUUAUCUUGGCUACAUGGGCCCACUGUGGUUUGAUGCCUGCCUCAGAGUAUAUAAUUUCUGUUUUUUCAAGUCUCACAUUUCCUUAGUGGAUUUGGCUCUCUGUGCUGCGUGUGUAGAAGAGUCAGUAUGUUUUGUGCUGUGAGUAUAGAGCGAUUAUUGAUCACAUUGGAAGAGUGUGUGAGCGCUCACUGAAAGGCUUUAGAUGUGGGACUUAAAGCUCCAGUCUGUUGCGCAUGAUGGUGUUAUACUAACACACAAAGCCUCUCCCAGAGUUUUGGGUGUGUAUGAAUCACAUGCAACAGAGUUACAACUAUCAAGUAGGUGCAGCAGUAAGGCGGAGCAGUGGUUUCUUGAGGAUCGUGUCCAUCUAAUUAUUUCUUCAUCUCCCUGCAGGUCAAUAUAAUUGAAUAUGCUGUAUCAGAUUUUUCUAACUGAAUGUGAAAAAUGUUGGGAGGAGAGUAUGUGGAUAGAUGGAUUUGACAUGCAGUAAAGGAGUUUGUGGGAGCAAGACAUUACACCAGUACUUGUUCAUAAAACGUUUAUUCACAGAUGAAACUUUGUGCAAAAAAAAAAAAAGGAAGGAUACACACAGACACAGUAUACUCAAGAUUCAGUUUUUUUAUUGUCCAUUUCUGUCAUAUGUGAGUACAUACACUGGAAUUGAAUAAGACAUUUCUCUGCAGCCCACCAUGCAAAGAUAUAGAGAAUAUAUUAAAAAUGCAGUGAAAUACAUUAGGGGAGAGUGGAAAGUCCAGUAAAUUGGUUGUGGGCAGUGGAUCUAUACCUGAUACCUGUCAAUAUGAUGAUGCUCUUAAGUAGCGUUUUCCAGUCAUAUUAAGUCUGACUUAUUGACUUAAACACACAGGGCCUGAUUCACCAAUAGCACCAAAAGUUAUGCAUCAUUUGCACAUCUCUGCUCCAUAUCUGGGUUGUAUGUAGAAGGACACGUCUCACCUGUUGAUCUGAUCUGGUGGAUGAGAUGGCUCAUUUAAAUGUAAGCAAACUGCACCAAUGCACAGAGACGCUGUUUGCAGCACAGCUUGUGGAGCAUUCAGUUCUUUGCCUGUGCUUUGUGACUUGGACCAUGUUGUUUUAACUUAUUUGCACAAGAUUGAUAAGUGUAUAAGCCAUGUAAUCCCUUAGUGAAUUGGGCCAACAAGAACAGUUUAAUACAGGAUGUACUCAGGGUUAAAAAGCCACCAAGAGGUGCUUUGAAAAAUAUUACAAACAAACAUAUAUCUGCUGCAAAAUGAUACAUAAGACGUGUUAAACAACAGUUUGUUAUGACUAAUCAUGGUGAGAUAAGUUUGACGAAGGUUUAGAUAUUUUUUCCGAUUCACUAUCGAACAAAAAUAAAUUAAUUAAUUAAAAAAAAAAAAAAAGGUUACGUGAUCUGACAUAGGAUGAUGAAAAAUGUUUCCUCUCCGUGAUCAGAUUAUUUCUCACAUUUAACAUGAAUCAUGAGAACUAAAGUAAGAGAUUUGUAUCUAUCUUUAAACAAAAAAAAACACUCAUUACAUGCCUGCUGAUGUUCAUAUAAGGCUGAUUAUUAUUUAAAAGGUGUUAGGAUCUUUAUUUCCAGAGACUCCAAACCUAACCAAUGAUCACACUUUCAAGAAACCUAACCAAUCUCUUUGUUUACCUUUAAUUUCAAUGUAAACUAACCCUUAAUUACAGCCACUUAUUAUUAUUAUUCAUUCUUAUUAUUUUCUGCAACUAAACUCAAUCUUUAUGAUAAAGUGAAGUCUGAUCAGCCUCUGCAUCCUUAGAUCAGGGAUGAACCUGUCAGCUACAUUAAAACAUCUUAUCCCAUCAGUCUUCUGACCCCCCCCCCCCCUUUAUCCUCUCUCCUCUGAACAACAAAAAUAGUUGUUGGCAACUACAUAACAUGGUUGACCUAAAACUAAUACUUGCAGCCUCUCCAAAAUGCACAACCAGUUCACCUUCUUGGGUUCUCAUUAAGAAACCGUGAUCCUUGAACACCACAAGAUGUCAUUGGUCAUCUGUGCAAGAAACAGAGUUUCAACAAAAGAAUUAGAUGAAUAGAAGUAUUAUAGCAUCAUGACAGCAAGCGUAAACCUGAUAUAUAGUCCCAGCCAGUGGUGGAUGGCUGCACUUUGUAUAAGACAAGAUAUAACCAGGAAUUCAGGCUACAAUAAGAAAGAUAUUUAAGUGAAGAUAAUAUUUGGUGUCUUGUACGUCUGUUGAAUCCUGGAAGUGAAGGUGAUGACGUUAAAUCGUUAAAUCACCACAAUGUAUUCAUCUCUUGUAAAAAUUACCAUAUAAUGAGCUUAAAUAUCCUCUAAGUUCACAUAGUGAAGAUGGACAGUAAUAAAGAGAAGUACAACCACACAGAGUUUAAAUAGUGGACUUACAUGAAUGAAAAGGUAACAAGCUAACAAUUUUAAACUUUUAAUCAAUGCUGUGAUGUGUGUUGUUUUAGGUUAAACGUUUGAUAUCUAGACUGAGACAGGCAGUCAGACGGCAGCUGGUCAGCUCUGCAAAGCAAAGAUUUGGGAAAGAUCAGAGAGGAUGGAGGGGAAGAAAAGAUGGCAAUGGCCAGAUUUUGACCAGAUGCUCCAAUCUUUGUCUUUUUUGGCCUUUGAAUUACAUUUGAAUGAGAUAACAUUUUGCCACAGUGAGUCAUUUAUAACAUCACUGAUGAAUAAUAAUAUAGCAUGUCCAAGUUAGAGGACAGGAGUCAUAACUAUGGGUUGUUAUAACACGUAUGGGAUCAUGUUAUGUUUUUCAAAGGGAAUUGAAAACAAGCAUUGUAAAUGAUAUUCAUUAAAGGCCUUGUAUGUCUCAUUUAUCUUUGUUUUUAUAUAGAAAUAGAUGCACAGCAUUUAAUAAUAUAAUUAUUACUCUUUACAAGAGGUGGAAAAAGCAUUGAUAUAGCAGUAUAUCUUUGCACCUUCUUAUAUAAAUAAAUAUGGCGCUCUAAUGAGAAGAAUCGGGGUAGUGUGAAUGGUAGUUGAUUAAUAAAAGGUUGAUAGCAGGAUGAAAACAGACGUUUUAAAGUGGGGAAAAGAUGCCCAGAGAUAAGCUAGCUUUGUUUUAAACUUUCUAGAAGAAUAACAGGAAACACUAUUCCAGCUCUUUAUGUGUAGACAAGGGGGUAAGUGGGGCAUGGACUUUAGUCUGCAGGGAGAGUUUCACUCACCAUUUAAAAAAAAAUGACUCUCUCGUGUCAUUUUAGUUUAAUGUCUGAAAAUUGACAUUUUUAAAAUUUUUAAUUGAAUCAAACCAAAGUGAACAAAAUAUAUGAACUCUCUACUUUGCCUCUGUGGGACAUGCUUUAUUUGUUAGAUACUUUAAUUGAGGGGUAAGAUGCAUUUUUUAGACUUUAUAUUUCCUCUCUGAUGCCUCUUUGAUAGCUUUAUGUGAUUUUAUGAUCAAAAGCCGCAAAUUUCUCACAGUGCAUAAACUAUGAUCUUACGAUUUCACAUAUUUGUCUGAGAUUUGAGUUCAUAUCUACUUCCUCAGAUUAAGACAACAUACAUUAACGUUGUGAUUAGAAACUUUGCAUACAUGUAGUAUGGACACCAAACUUUAUAACAUUGCAGUUUUUGCUGUAAAUGUGGAAGAGCAUGAUACCCCCCCUUAAACAUAAAGUCAUGAUGUUUUGGUACGGUACUGUAUUGUAUUGUUUAAACUGUUUGCUUAAAUGCUUAAAUGUCACUGCCUCCAUGACUUCCAGUGGUACCCCACCAUUUUUUCUAUAUCCAUCAGCAUCCAGAAAACAUGUAGACAAGAUUAACAUGGCAGGUGAACAAAAAGCCCUGUCCAUAUAUAUAUGUUUAUGAUACGUCAUCAAGAUGGCGCCCGGAGUAGGCACCCUGGUGUUCCGGUGCUCAUUGUUUUGUCUGUUUUUGUGCUUUAACCGUGUGUCAUCGUGCUCCUACACCCGUGAGGAGCUUCUAAACAUCAGAUCAACAACACCCACGUACAUUACACCAGUUUUUUUGGCAUCUGCUGCUCAAUUGGUCCACUUUUUGGCCAAAAGAGUGAGAUGUCGGCGAAGGGGAAAGCGAGCUGGGGUGCUUGCGCGUCUCAGACAGCGAGGCACGCGUACGCCCUUACCUGGGAUUUUCCUCUCGAACGUCCGCUCACUCAGCAACAAGAUGGAUGAGCUGGCACUGCUGAUAAAGAAGAAUAGAGACUUCUUCUCUUCUUGUGUUCUGUGCUUCAUGGAGACGUGGCUAAAUGCACAGACACCUGACUGCGCCAUACAACUGGAGGGUUUUCAGCUCCUCCGCGCAGACAGGGAUCGUGUACUCUUCAGUGGGAAAACAAAAGGUGGAGGAGUCUGCUUCUACAUCAACAACGCCUGGUGCUCCGACGUGACAGUGAUCUCCCAACACUGUUCUCCCUCUCUGGAAUAUCUCUUCAUAAAAUGCAAACCGUUCUACUGUCCACGUGAGUUUGUCUCAUUCAUACUCUGUUCUGUUUACAUUCCACCAAGUGCGGAUGUGCACAAGGCCGAGCGCGCGCUCGCGGAGCAGGUUAUGAGCGUAGAGAGGAACUUUCUGGACUCCUUAGUCAUAAUUCUUGGUGAUUUUAACAAAGGAAAUCUCAGUCAGAAACUACCAAAAUACAAACAGUUUAUAACAUGCCCGACCAGAGAGGGGAACACAUUAGAUCACUGUUACACUACAGUAAGUGGUGCCUAUCGCACUGUGGCUCGCGCAGCUUUUGGACUCUCAGAUCACUCCACGGUUCACCUGAUCCCUGCGUACAGACAGAGACUAGAACUCUGUUAACCUGUAGUGAGGACAUCCAAAGUGUGGACCAGUGAAGCUGUGGAGGAGCUACGCACGUGCUUGGACACCACGUACUGGGAUAUGUUUAAGGCUUCUACAGACAGUCUAGACGAUUACACAGACACUGUGACGUCAUAUAUUUAUUUUUGUGAAGACAGCAUCAUCCCGCAGCCCUGGUUUACAUCAAAACUCCGGCAGCUCCGUCAGCAGAAAGAGGUGGCUUUCAGGGAAGAUGACAGAGACCGCUACAAAUGUGCCAAGUACAGUUUUAGUAAGUAGGUGGCAAAGACUAAAGCUAGGUACAACGAACAAGCAGCAAAGAUCCUCUGCCAACGACCCUGCCUCGGUGCGGAGGGGGUAGAAAGAGAUCACCAACUACAAGCCCAAAGCACCUCGUUCAACUGACGACCUAAAACUAGCCAACGACCUGAACGACUUCUAUUCAUGCUUUGAAGUCAUGGACUCACACCCCCUCACCCCCCACACAACUGGAAAUUCAACCACCCUGGUCCUCCCCCCUCCCCCUGCUGCCCUCUCGGUCCAUGAAGAGGAAGUAAACAGACUGUUUAAGCGUCUGAGUCCACACAAGGCUGCUGGCCCGGACUGUGUCUCUCCUGCCACUCUGAGACACUGCGCUGAUGAGCUAGCUCCAGUCUUCACGGGGAUCUUCAACACCUCCCUGGAGUCAUGCCAUGUUCCUGCCUGUUUCAAGUCCUCUAUCAUUGAUCCCAUCCCCAAAAAACCUCACGUAACUGGACUUAAUGACUACAGGCCGGUGGCUCUUACGUCUGUAGUCAUGAAGACCUUUGAACGCCUGGUUUUAUCCCACCUGAAGUCCAUCACCGACCCCCUCCUGGACCUUCUGCAAUUUGCCUACAGAGCCAACAGGUCUGUAGACGACGCCAUAAACCUGGCCCUGCAUUUCAUCCUGCAGCACCUGGACUCCCCAGGAUCCUACGCUAGGAUCCUGUUUGUGGAUUUCAGCUCUGCAUUCAACACCAUCCUUCCGGCUUUGCUCCAGAACAAGCUUUCCCUGCUCCAUGUGCCUGAUUUCACCUGCAGGUGGAUCACAGACUCCCUGACGGACCAGAGUCAGUGUGUGCGGCUGGGGAAGAAUGUUUUGGACACUCGGGCUCUCAGCACAGGAUCUCCACAGGGCUGUGUACUUUCCCCUCUGCUCUUCUCCCUGUACACCAACUGCUGCACCUCCAGCCAUGAUUCCGUUAAGCUCAUCAAGUUUGCGGAUGACACUACCCUCAUUGGACUCAUUUCGGAUGGAGAUGAGUCUGCUUACAGGCUGGAGGUGGACCGGCUGGUCACCUGGUGCAGCAGCAACAACCUCGAGCUCAACGCCCAGAAGACAGUGGAGAUGAUCGUGGACUUUGGUAAAGCCACAGCCCCCCUGCCCUCCCUCGACCUCACCGACUCCCCCAUCACCACUGUGGACUUCUACCGCUUCCUCGGCACCACCAUCACCCAGGACCUCAAGUGGGAGCCAACCAUCAGCUCCCUCAUCAAGAAGGCCCAGCAGAGGAUGUACUUCUUACGGCAGCUGAGGAAAGCCAAGCUGCCGGUCCAGCUGAUGGUGCAAUUCUACAUGGCCAUCAUCGAGUCCAUCCUCAGCUCCUCCAUCACGGUGUGGUACGCCGGGGCCAAUGUUAGGGACAGACACAGACUGCAGUGCAUUGUGGGCUCUGCUGAGAAGGUGAUCGGCGGUAGCCUUCCAUCUCUCCAUGACCUGUACGACUCCAGGACUCAGGGCCCAGCAGGUCGGAUCGCAGCUGACCGUUCUCACCCUGCACACGGACUAUUUGAGACCCUCCCCUCAGGCAGGAGGCUACGGUCCAUUUGGACCAGAACCUCCCGCCAUAAGAACAGUUUCUUCCCCUCUGUUGUGGACUCAUGAACACUUUAUAACUCAGUCACUUUAAAUCCGUCACUUUAUCACUGGUCACUUUAGUUCAAUGUACCUUGGUUUUUUAAUUGCACUCCUCCCACUGCACUGUUGUUCUGUAUUGUGUAGUUGUACAUAGCCUGUUAUACUUACUGUACAUAGCAUUGUACAUAGCCUUUUAUACUUUAUAUAUGUCCUGCAUGCUCUUAUUAUUUUCUAUUCUAGUAUUUUAUGUGUUAUUCUCUGUUUAAAGUUGCACCAUCAUGCCGUAAAAAAUUCCUAGUCUGUGAAUCCUGUUCAUUGACAAUGGCAAUAAAACCCCUUCUGAUUCUGAUUUAUUAGCCAAAGAGCAUGUUGUUUGAAAAAAUGAACUUAAAGCCUAAAGUAGCAAGCAGAGGUGAACUCCAGAAAACAGCUCUUUGUUGAGGGUUCACUGCCCACCGUCUCCAGUGGUAUGAAGAUGGUCUGAAAAUGGUCAUUUAGUUUUGUCCUAAUGUUCAACUGUCUUCCUGUAGUUCACUGAAAGCAGAAUUACUUUUUUGGGAGGAGUUUUCUGGAAGCUGCUGUCAGUCUCAUGUCAAAGAACAAGCUACACUGUGAAGUGAUUUGUUGGAAAUGGAGACCAAAGCAUGAAUGCGAUGACUGCUUAUCUCUGAAGCUGACACCAGAAUGAAGUUAAUUAAUAUUGCCACUCACAUUACUGGUAGGUAUACUUAAUGCUGUGAAGUGCAAUUAGGAUAUUAACAUUAUUAAUUUAGGCUCAGCUAUCUCAUUCUCCUGAUGGGGGGCUUAUCAUGGUAUUUUUGUUAUCUUAGCCACACAUAUUUGCACUUUUCUCAAUUUUACAUCCUCUUAAGUCGGAUAUGUGAUUAAACUAGGGGCUGAAUCAAGAAGUAAACUGUGUGGCUUAGUUGCUGUGUUCUAUAGCAAUCUGGGCAGGGAUGAAAAGAAAGUAGGGAUUUGGAGUGACUGUUUCAAAGAGGUGGAAACGAGGAGAGACAGUAGAAGAGAGAGAAAUAGAGAGGGGGCCUUUAGUGAUAUGGUGAUGUUGGUUCUUUGGGGUUUGUUCUACGGUCAGGGAGGGCCUCUGUCUCCGCCGGCGCCUCUUAAUCCAUCACACCUCCUGUGGCCCUGCAUCUGACACACUCCAGCGUCAGUCUGACCUGCAGCCAGGUUGGUGCUUAGCCCGUUUCCACAUGUGUGUCUGCUGUUCUCUUAUCCCUGUUCUCACCCUCCUGUUCUCUGUCUGAGGAAGUGGCUGGGUUAUCAGCAGUGCCUCUGGCGAGAUGAACACAUUUUCAUACAGUACAUACUCCACAUCCAGCCUUGUUCACAAGCGUGUGUCCUUCACUCACAGCUGAGAGGAAAUACUCCUCCUGCUGCAUAUUCAGUUUCAGUCUCACCUUCAGCAGCUUCUCAGAUGCUUUGUUUUUUCAUAAAUGUUUUCUCAAGUGACCCCACUCACCAUAACCUCCAAAUCUCUUAUAAUUGGUUAUUUUGAAUCACUUCUGAUAGGUGGUUUUUGUGUGUGUGUGAGCCUUUUGACUGGGAGUGAACCUCAAGGCAUCUGAUUUUUAAGAAUUGGUCUCAGCCACCUCACUUGAUCAAUCUUGCUGAUCCCUCGGAUUCAACCACACAUGCUUCUUGUAACCUUUCAUCCACUUUAAUGGGAUCUGACCUUAAAAUGAGUGGGCUUCAUUAACCCUCUGUCAGAUUUUCUGACCACAGUUGGAAGGAUGAGGGAGGUAGGGGUGUUGAAAAAAAGCCCAGGGUUGACUCUGUGCUGCGGAAGAGCCAGCUAGCAUGUGGGUGUUUGAUUUACGUUCAGACUUGCGUCACACAUACGCUCAAAGUGUCGCUCUGCCAUUUAGCCACAGCUCUUUGGCAUGUUUUCACACUUUGUAGUGUGUCCCUCUAAACUCUGCAGCCCAUCUCUGUACCUCACUGUUUCUCUCGCUGCCUAUUGUCACACAAGGUGACCCUUGAAAAACUCCAGGAGCCCUGCUGGGAUCGUUGCUCUUUUCUGCAGCAGCCAAAUCACACAGCUCCACCCCCUGUCUACCUGGUGGUGGCAAUUCAGCAUCUACUACCCGAUUUUUUCUUCCCCAGCAGGAGCCACGGCCUAAAGGAAGAGGCUAGUGGGUGGUUCUGUGUAUUUGAUGAUUCCCUUUUAAUUUGCUAGCUAAAGGGAAUUUAGAUGAAGUUGCAUUGUGUGUGUGUGUGUGUGUGUGUGUGUGUGUGUGUGCAUUUGUGUGCGUUUGUAAGUGAUUGUGUGCUUGCAUGUCGAAAAUGUUUUUGUUUUUUGUGUUAGUCUAUUAUGAAUUGAUGUUUUCUUUUUGAGAGUCUCAGCACUAGCUGUAAUGAAUUCCAGAAGGCUUUCCGUCUCUCUGUUCUGUCGCUCUUCACCUCCUAUUUCACAGCAGGCCUGGUCGCCUCAAGUCCCUGCCAUAUGGCCGUACUGAAGCAUUUUCGGGAUAAACUUCAUACAAAUCCAUUGAUAUAACAGCACAGAAAGGGCUUACCGUCAUCAUCAUCAUCAUCACCAGCAGCUAUAGCUGUGUGUGCAUGCUGGUGACAAUGGAAAAGUACUGUAAAGUUACCUUCUGUGCCUUUAGAGUUAAUAAUUAUAAAAUUAAAUCUAAUUAAAUAUAGCUUUUCAGGGCAGAACAACGCCUGCAUAUGCCUCCGAGGAAAGAUUCAGCACAGUCACUAUUUAUAGGACAGUGAAAUAGAGCUUUUGUUUUUGUAUUUUGCUAUGAUGUUAUUGUUUCUGCUGGGAACAGACAGAAAACUUUAGGAGACCGAGGUUACAGAGUGCAACUGAGGUCCCUGACCGAAAGUAAACCCAUGUUGUAUUUAAUGAGCUGUAUCUGAUUGGAAACAUGUAUUAGCUCAGCUGUAAAUAGUGCACAGUUUAGUUCUGUGCAGUAGUUAAAAAAGGACCAAUAAGGAUUUAUGCACAUUUUAAGUGAAUUGUUAAUUUGAUCAUAAAAAUGCCUUCCUUGGGCAAACUGUAUCAGAUACAGUAUAUAAAUAAAGUUUUGUUAAACUGAGGUCAAACUUUCCCAAAUGCAUUAAAUAUGUUGACUGUAGGUUUACUGAGAGCCAGCUCAAGGCCGAACAUCUGCGGUCCUGUUAGAUCUUGUUUGGAAUGUUUGAUGGGGGAAUUAAAUGUUUAUCUAUAUAACGCCAAUUCACAACAAGUAUUAUCCAGAGACACUAACAAAAAAGCUGGGAGUGAGUCUGGCAAAUCAGACAACUCCCAUGUGUGUGUGGGUAAUGAAUCAGCUGUGUGAUCGCCUACAUUAACUCGCUAAUGCUAGUACUCGGCGCACGCACUCGGCAGUGCAUCACACAUAUGUAUACUGAUACAUAUGUCCAAGGUAGUGCCACGUAAGAAAAAACCUCACUUUUAAGGUGUAUCAGCCUGUAUCUACAGUGGAAGACUAGAUAUACUGGCACACUGAAGAAGCCAGCCAGGCUACGUGCCUGCAAUGGUCCCACUAAAGGCAUUAGAUGUACAUGGAAAAUAAAUCACAUCUUGCUCAUUUCUCAGCUGAUUUUCAUGCGGUUUACUUUAUUUUCAGAGCCGAAACAUGGGCUUUUAAAACAGGACAUUAGAUUUUGCAUUUGUGUUUUUUCUUUUGCAAAGCGUUUUGGAUAUGCAAAUCGUCUGACACUUCCCGGCCACCGUACCCAUCCCAUCUUCAACCACAUAAGUGAAACACUUUACAGCAUUUAUAACAGGCAGAAACCUCAAGCAGAAAGAGACUCAUGUUAGACAGUCAUCUGCUGAGACUGAGCUGGGUUUAAAGAGGAGAAAGAGAGAGAUGGACAGAGGAGAGGCUGAUGUAGGGAGAUGAGGUGAGAUUAAUGCAUAUUGUUGAAGCAGCUGUGGCAGCGAUCCAGAGGAACCUCCAUCAUGGAGCUCAUGAUGGAGGACUCCUAGCAAAGACUUUGUGUAGUGAAUUAUACAAACCAAACAUCUUUAACAUGGGUUGAGGCCCUUUAGGUGCUGCUGAUGUUAGCUAGCAACUUGUGUAGUAGUCCAAGUAACUUUAGCAUCUGUCUUACUUUUCUGGAUGCAGAUGUCUUUAAAGGCUGGAUCUUUUCUCCGCCUUUUCUGUGAUAGUUAUUUUUUAUAUGUUAACACGUUGUACUCCUUUCACUUACAAUUGAUGUGAAAUCUUUGAAAGCAAAUGGCAUGUUUUGUUGCACCAUUUAUGGCAUCCUGAUCAAAACUGUUGCUGAUCAGGUCUGAGUCAAGCCAGAAGUCUUAAAAAUCAGGCUUUUGAACUGCAUCACACACAGGGACACCAAUAUUACAUUGUUGCAGACUCAAAAUGGCUGUAUGCCUCCUGCACCUGCUAAACCUGUGAAAACAGACCAAAGAGACAACCUCUAAUUCACAAAUGUGCCAAGGGUUGAAUGUACCACAAGCUGCGCUUUAGUGCAAACAGCAUGAUUGUGAUUGUUUGCAUAUAUUUGUAUACACUCAUUUGGAGCAAAAUAUGCCAGUUUCUCUGCAAAUGAACCUCAUCAUAAAGAACACCUAAUUUCCCUACAUCAGUGUGAACCACAACACACAGAGAGACAAUCUGACUGUUCUGAUGGGUUUGUGCCACAGUGAGUGAAAAUGUUGGUCUUUAACUCUUCCAUGAUGAAAACUUUAAUCUGACCUCUGAAUAACCUCUAAAUCUAUCUGUACAUAAAGUCUGUUGAUAUUAUGUUGACAAAACCUUGAUUUCUUUUCAUGAGUCAGACUAUACAAGCUGGGCCAUUUCAAAUCAUAGUGGUAUUGAUAUUAAUUGAAAUCUGUGUAAUAUCUGACUACAUAAUAAAAUGGCGAGGAUUUUGCCUCUCCAUCUAGCCAAACAUACAUUGUACGUGGAAAGACUGCAGAGCUGUCUAGAUAAGAGUGCACAGCUCUCUGCAGCAGAGAGUGGAAAUGCAAGCAGCUCAUUUUGGUCACAGCUAAGUGCAAGACUUGCGCAAAGCAGAGCUUUAAUGGUGUUUUUAUGCUUUAGUAUCGCCAGCUCAAUAUGCUAUGCAAAUCAGACCGUGAGACAGAGACAGUGGAGUCAAAUGAUAUGCAAUUAUUUGUGCAAUGAUUGGUUGUUCUCAGUGAAUCUGCCCUGGAUGUGUGCUUAUUAUGCAUUUUUGGGGGGGUAUUUGAAAUAAUGAAGCUCAUCAUGUCACCAUAAGCUAUUUCCGAUAAAAAUAUUUUUUGGGGGGUGGGGUUGCCUCUAAAAGUUUGGAUGAUAUUGUGGAAAAAAAGAGAAAUAGUUUGAUGAGAGUCUGAUAACUAUUCUUUAUUUUAAUUAAGAAUGCUUUAAAGGCAUAACUAGUGACCACCUUGCGAAGGCAGCACAUAUGGGAAAUAAACCAGGUAAUAUUGCAUUGUCUCCUGCGGGCAGACUUACAGGUUGGAAUUUCUGUGCAGAUGUCAUGUGCAUCAGCAGCUACUCAGAUUGUCACGAGCACAGAUGGAAAAACAAAUGAACAGAAAUGUGUCCCCAAGUGUAAAUAUGCAUUGUAAGCUGUUCACAUUAUCAGAUUUGCAGAUGGAGGAAGCAUAUGCACAGUAAUAUAUGCUCUCACUUUGCAGAAUAUACAGAUGGAGUUCAUAUCACAGCACAAGCGUUAUGGCGCUGUGUGCUGUUUGUCAUGUGUGGAGGCUGUGAUGUGGUUACUGUAUGUGACGGAGCGGUCAGGAACUGGACAGCUGGCCUGGCAACCUCCACCUCUCACACUGAUGGAGGAGAAGGCAGAUGCGGCUUCACCUCGCUUGGCUCUUGUUUAUACAGAGGAAGUCGAAUCUAUCUGUCUGUUGGUUUGUCAGACUCUCCUCCCUGGCGUGUUGAGGUGUGUGACAGAGAGAUGGAGAGAGAUGGAGGCUAGACUGGCAGAGUGAGAGCACACUGUCUCUGUAAUGAAUAUAAAUGGGCUCCAGGUCUCUCUCUCUGAAAACAGGCACGGGGCUGCAAGGGUGUGGGAUGGAGACGGCCCCUCCUAUUUUCCUCCCCUCUUUAUUCACCCACUCACUUACUGCAUUGUAUACACAGAACAUGCAGACUAAUACACAUUUGCCCUGACUUCGUUUAGCAGUGGCGACUCUGUGAUCCCUAAAGCCCCGGGUCAUUCAAAUGAGCUUUUAGUGAGACUCUCGGGACAAUAAAACUUCAUCAUAGAGUUACUGGAGUAGCAGGGUUUAAAGAGCAUGUUAGUAGAGAAAUUUGACUAAAAUUUGCAGUUAACUGUUUGUUUCUUAAGGCUAACUCUUGUUACAACUCAGCUUGAGUUUGUGGUGGUUUGAAAUGUUCAUUACAGCAGCAGAGCACUGUGUUUAUUGGGUCUGUGCUCCGACCUUAAGAGUCCCUGCAGCUUAAUACUUUAACCACACGAUAUGCUCACUGCUUAUAACACUAAACAUUCACAUAACAUUAUUAGCUAUAAGAUGAUAUGCAUGCUCAUUAUCACUCAUAGGGAUUGUGUUAAAACCUUAUAGAUGCAUUUAUAACCUUUAUAAAUGUACCUAUGAUCAUAGACUGUAUAUACUAUGGACAACUUGGUUCCGCCUUCCAUCAUUAUACAAAUUUGAAGCCAAAUUGUUCUCUGUAUUUCUAGGGUUUUUGCCACUUCCUGGAACCACCACUUGCACAGUGGCAUGGUACGGAUACGGCAGGAGAGUUGCUGUGAUGAUGCUCGGCUCAAACAGCGUUUCCCCGGGUGAUCUACAUAAUCUUGGUACGUUCUUAGGCUGUAUCAAGUGUCAAUCGUAGAAAACAUGAACCCACGAAUAACUUUUAAAAAUGGGGCUGCACAGAAAAAAAAGGACUUAAGCACAAACCAGUCUUACAAUAACUACAUGUCAACAUCGCAAUAAGGGGGGAGAAAAAUUUAUAUUCUGUGUAAUAAAUUUCUAAAGUUUGUCCACAGCUCCAUAGAGAUUGUUGGAGGAGGCGGGAUUUAGGACCUAUAUUGCAUCCUGUCACCAGAGGGUGCUGCCUCCUCGCAUUGGCUUCACCUAGCGAGGAGGCAGACGGCAUCUAUUCCAUAUACAGUUUUUGCCUAUGAUGCAUUACAAUUAGAGGGAUCAUGUAAAGUGUUACCAAACAGUUCACCCUCUUAAGACUUUUACUUGAGUAAUCUCUGGAUCCCUUAGAUAAUCUAGUUCAGACUAUCCUACAGCAAAGCAAAACUGUCACAGAUAUACUUACAUACAGAACAACACAUCAUAUUACAAAAAUAUGCAAAGGUAUGAAUGAAUAAUUGACAGAAGCGUAGUUGGAGACUUGCUGAUGCUGUUGUACACCAACCUUACAGUUGGGCUGUCAGAAGCAGUUUGUACUAACUGUUGUGUAAAAAAGAAACUUGACGGUGAAGCAAUCUAGCAUGACACAAACACACAUACUUGUACCCAAGUGUGUCAAAGUUCAUAGGGCAGAAACUAAAAAUAUUACAGGCAGUGUGCCCGUAAUUUACCUGCUGGGGUGUAUAUUGUGUGAUCAGAAGGCACAUAAUUACCAGUUUAACUCCAUCCCAGACCUCUAGCCACGUGAACCACUUACUGUGCAGGCCAACUGUGCCCCUGGUUCUACGUUUCACAAUCUAGCAUAUUACAGAUUGGUAUAUGGAGACAAGUUGAAUAAAAAUAAAAAAACAAUAAGAAACAGAGGACAGGACAGUGAAUGGGGCAGGAAACAGGGGGAGGUAGUGGUAACGCAGAAGCCACAGACUGCUUGAAGGCUCAUUUAUGCUUGCCAUAUGUAUGACAAUGUGCACGUCUGUUUCAAACGAGGAGGCUGUGGCUGGUCAGGCCACUAAAUGCCUUGUGAUUGGAGGAUGGAGAAUUCUUUUCUCUAGUAGUACUGAUGAGAGAAAUUGACGACGAUCCUCAAAAAGCCCCACCAUUGUCUUCUUCAUUUCUCUCUAGAGGGUAGUGACAGCGGCAACACUGCCCCCACGGUUUCCAGUGGUACUGCUCCACCUGGCCCAUAUCCAUAAACUUAUAGGAUACAUGCAGAAAUAUGGACAAAAAGAAUGCGAAGCACAGACAGAGAGCUCUGUCCAUAUCUGGACCUGUUACUUACUGGCUGACAAGUCCUGUAAUCGUUGCUGCUGUCCUGGUGCCUGAUGCUUUCCUCUUUCUAAUCCCCUUCCUCUCUGCUGCACCAUUUUUUCUUUCCAGUUCACCUGGUGAUGAUGAUAUUUUAUGAAGCACUGUGAAAGGGACACUGUGAUGUCAUACUUUGCAGUUGGCACUCAUGACCCUAUGGCAGCUGGUUGAGCACAAUUAACCAACCACAAGAGUCGCACUUGCAUGCAAUGAAUGGUGCAUUCAGAGGGGCUUAUUGAUUCAUUCUUGCUGUUCACGCUGACUGCUCACUGAAGGCCAAAUAGACUUGAGGCCACUGGGAAAUGUGCUCAACCCACACCUGGUGUAUACUAUCAGUAAACCAUUAGUAUAAGAUCGUAAUGGACUGUCCAAGAAUUAUCAUCCAGCUUUGCUUCGGUUUGUGCCUUUUUAAAGCACCAGGCCAAAACUGCUGUCAUCUUUGUUUUACCCAGACUUUUCAUGUUAAUCCAACACUGUAGUUGUUCAGAUUAUUGUGCAGGUCCUCUGGUGAAAACAGCCAAGUGAGCAUCAUAGCUGAAGUUUGAGUAUCUGCUUGUUUUCCAUUUCAUAAAAAUGAUUGUUUUGCAAAGUUAUUGGUGUAUUUUCUCUUUCUGAGAUUUGUUGAGGAUUUCUGAAUCCGAAGAACAAUCCUUGUAAAACCAAAUAAAAAUACUGAUGGUGUAUGCUGGAUUACAAUGGUGAAUAUGUUGUUUAUGUUUAUACAGGCCAGGUCAAUGUGGUCAAGAGCAACUACUCAAUACAAUACAAUUGAAAGAGGUGGCCUUGCACAGAGUACUGUCUUUAUGAGGUUCAUAAUGUUGAGCUGCUAUUUAGACUUGAGGACAAACACAAAUCUCCAUACUGCAAUUCAAUAGCACAAGAUCCUUCAGGAACUGCGCUCCUCACAAUGUCAUAUUUACUGCAGGGUCUAUACAUAUAUGCAAUGUGAUAAGCUUUUGUCUACUGUAUUAGAGAUUCUUGGUGUUAAGUAUCAGGAAUAAUUUUGGUACUUACAUCUUUAUUUCCUCUGCUUUUUAUCCAGCCUACAUUCUGCUGAUGGAGCAGCAACACACACGCUCCCUUAUCUGAAGCACAGGACCUCCUCUACCUCCUGACUUUGUCUUUUAAUUGGUCUCAAGGAAGACAGUCUUUGUGAACGUCUUGCCAGCCUACCCUGCAACGUGACAAUAUUUAUUCUCCCUAUGCCAUGUGCAUUAUCACCUAUUAGCCGUUCUCCCUGUUCAUACUGUCAUCGUCUGAUUCCCAUGACAAAUGAACUGUCUAAAGCUGUUCCUUCUGAGAGAGUCCUAUGAUUAGCACACAUCUCCAUCUCUGUGAGCUGUUACUGCCGCUUUGCUCUUGAUGUUUGUCAUGAAAAGGAUUCGGGGGAAAAAAGCAUCUUUAGCUUUAUUCUGGUUAAGUGUCAUCUGGGUCUAUUUAGAAAGCUGUGAGGCUGUUAGCAGCGCUGCCAGCGUUGUCAUGUUAUCUUAAAUUGAAACCCUGUGAUUACUUGGCAUUUCUGGUGCUCUUUAAGGGACAGGAUGUAAAAAAAGCACCUGGUAAAUUGUGCUUUAAAUAAGCCAUGAAAAAAGCUCAGAAGAUGAACCACACACACAAAGAAACACACAUACACACACACAUGAAAAAUCUGCGUACACGACCCUGCUCACUCAUAUAGACCAUAAUUAAUUGCCAGGAAGUCUCAGGUAAUUUAAAUUGCAAAUCAGUGCAGCCUCGUUCCCCCAACUUUUUUGUGAUUAAUAUUUUAUUGUCUUAGUGAGCGAAAAUGCCACUAGUGUUUUUCAUCAGAUACAAAUAGCACAAAAGAAGAAAAAGGAAGGCUCUGGAUUGAGGACCAGAUGCAGGACUCGGCUGUAAACGUUAAUUAAGUUGUGUCUGGGUCUAGUGCUGUGGAGGUCUCCACUCCUGUCUGAGAUCCCCUCACAAAGACAGAGGUCUCUCUCCCUGUUUUCUCCCAUUCUCUCCUUUCUUGCUCCAUCUCUCCUGACUCUCAUUUCUGCCUGGUUUUCCUCAGGUCCUGAACUUCUCUUUUAAUCAGCCACUAAUUAAGCAGCAUGUUUGAAGGGAUUCCUUGGCAGGCGAUAGUGGGGGACACUCAGGUUCAGCGAGGAAAGCAGGAUUGUGGGACCUUUCUGCGACUUAGGUAUGAAUUAAGUGGAGAGGGGCAGAGGAUGAAAUAGAUGACAGAGAAGUAAAGCUUUGAGCCCAAAUGCUCAAUUUUACUUCAUUUUCAGGUGGAUUUUUUAUCUUAAAGUACCGCUUUUGAAGCUCAGGACUAAGAAUCAGACUAAAAUGGGUCAGUUUACCUCUGUGUAAAACAGAACUUGAAAGGUGAUGUGGCCAGCAUUUUAAAAUAAAAAAAAACCUGGGAUGCACGUCCUCAUAAAGUACAACUUUGACCUUUCUGAGCCAGUACUGGCUUUUGAAAGCACUGUGUGACCUUGUUGUGUAUGUGUGUGUUUGUGUGUGAGUGCAGCCUGGCAGCCUGAGAUGAAAGUCUUAAGUCUUCCACUUCACUCAGAGCCACAGUGCACGGGUGCAGCCUGGCUGGAAUCAGAUGGUUGGCUCGGCACUCUGCUCCUCUCAAAGCAAAACAAAGAGGAGACCAUGCGCAGAACGAGAAAGGCCUCCCCACCUGUGAGGCAGAGCGCUCCACUGCUGUGCUCUGAAUGCUGAAUCCUCCUGAAAUGAAUCCUGAUAUAUCCCAUUAAUCAAAAAAUACAGCUCCAUUAGAUUCACUGGCCAAUUUAGGCUUUCUUUGAUGUUGUCAAACACGUACAGGCCAACAUUCAUGCAAGGUCGUAGCUUUCAUAGUAAUGUGUGCCACCAUUCCUUUAAUGACUGUGUUUGUGUGUCCCUGCAGGGUGCCCAUAACCAGCUUUGAGUCUGGUGGUGCUGCUGUACUGGAUCCAUCCCUCUGCAACUCUGUCUGCACCAGGUGUUGUUCAAAAGGCAGCCAACAGAGACUGACUAUCGGCCCUUUUUUCUCCCCACAACACUCCACACCACUUCACCCCAAACCUGGCUGUUAGUCAGGUGCCAAUUCAAGUCAUCUCUGUUUUAGUGCCAGAGUAACAAGUCCUUUUCCUCUUGGUGGAAAUGUCUCAUGGUGCUGUGGCUGAGAGCUGCUGUUAUAUCCCAGGUGAGCGGGGAAACAGAUUCUAUUUUUGAAAGGAAAGCCCAGGUCAUGGGAUUUUCUAACCCAUUCUGUUUCACAGUUAAAUUGAUUUCAAGAGAAUUCGUAACAUCGACUGUAGCUUCCGGUUUUAAAGUUGGAAGAGAACUACAGCAGUUUUACAUGAGCUCAGAUUUGAAGUUUAUCCAAGUUGUACUGCCUUUGUACAUGAAAUUGUUUAAAACUUUUUGUAGUGCAGGAGAGACCUGUAAAAAGAUGUUGAUAUAACCCAAAUGACAUCACUUGACUCAGUGUCUUUUUUUUCACCAUAGACUGUAUAAUUGCUGUAUGUAACUGUAUUUUUCUGGUGCUUCUACUGCCAGCCUUAAAGGGAUAUUCUGGCAUAAAUUGAAGUUAUGAUCAAACACACCGUAACACAGAGUUAGACCCCCACCUCCCCACCCCCCAGAGAUGAAUGUUGUCGACUGCUUACUUAAAUAAUGACUUCAGUAAUGAACGCACAAUAGCAAUACACAGCGGUCUACCUCUCCAUGUGCAAACCUCAACCAAAACGCCACUCUAUAGCCACAAAUAAUGCUCAGAACAGCACCUAACUUCAUCAACAGUACAUAUAGGGUCCCGGCCAUAGUACUAGCCACUAAACAUCUUUUUAGCUUUGCCUGGUUUCUGAAGCAAAGAGACUAAACAAAACUCACCCACUCUCCUCCAGCAGCAGCCUGUUUGUGGGGGGAGCCCUGACGAAUUGAUCACAGAGUGCAGCAGAUCAUUUCCAUGAAGUAAUAAUCAUCAUAUUAAUCAUUUUGCACUGCAAACGCAGUAGUUCCUUUGCCAGUUUCUUGGUCUGAUUUCAUUGCAUUGUAAUACUCAUAAAUUUUUUUCAUUGGGCUGCACUCAGUGAUCGACUCAUCAGGGCUCCCCCACAAACAAGCAGGUGCUAGAGGAGAGUGGGUGAGUUUAAAACUUUAGAAAUGGAUGUAAAUCAGUGCAGCACGUCUUUCAAGUCUAAUCAUUGACUAAAAGAUCUUCAGUCCUUCUCAAAUGGUCUAGUAAGCUACACACAAAACAAGCGUAUGUUUUUUUUCCUCAGCAUGAGGCAGGAUCAGAGGGGAUAACUAAAACUUUUUUAAUGCAGACACUUUUGCUCUGCUACUCCAUCAGUUCAUAUGUACGUGACUAAAAAUACACCCUCAUGUUUUCGUGACUCCUCCAUGAGUCAGGAAUGAAACAAAUCAGUUGUGGAUUCCAUCAGGAACUGUUCUUCCUCAUAUGUUUCCCACAGAAAUUGGUGUCAUUUUGAGUGUGUUGUGUAAAGGUUACCUCGACUGUGAAAUUUGUUUUUGUUUCAGUCAUUGCUGAAGAGGUGUUGCUUCUUCAGACAUCACUUCACGUUUAAGAGCUGAGCUGGAUAAAGUAUGUCAUUGAUGAUGUCCGUUUUUUCAUCUCCUCUGUGUCUUUGCAAAAUUGCUCUGUUUUUUCUUCUGCCACUUUUACGGUAUCCUUUCUUCUUUCCCUCUGUUUGUUGUCAGUGUUUAUUAAGAUGAAAGGCAGUUUUGAUGUGCGGUUUUGAAGUCCGCCUGACCAAACAUCACUUACCUAUAUAGAAUAGAUAAAUAUAUAAAUAAAGGGGGUCUGGUUUCAGUCCUCGCCGUGCCUCCUUUGUUUAGAUCAAAGUGUUGAAGUUCUCCUGGAUCUUGGACCAUCAACUUCAGCUUCUGUCAUGAGUGGAUCAGGGAGGUCAUCAAAAGCUUUCCAUCGCAGCCAGUAAGAAACUCAAAAGGUCAGUGAACACUUGUUACUUUUUCCAUAAUUGUCAUUUGAUCACUUUGCAUGACUUAAGUAAAAUUAAAAGGUGUGAUGAGAUCACAUAAACCAGAGCUUGUAAAACUGGUCACCAUUUCCUGAAGUCCCACUCCGUUCUUUUUUUUUUGUUUGUUUUAUUUUUAAAAUUUUAAGUGUUAUCAGUGGUCUUUAAAUCUUGAUUAUAAAGUUUUUUUUUUUGCCAAAAUCACAUUACCUGUCAUUUCCAAGGUCUUUUCUUCUGUAGAGCUACAGUAGCUCAUGAGUAAUUCACCUCUGAGUCGUGGGUGGAGUCAACGCUGCUCUGCACACUCCUCUUCAUGCUAGCUUGCAGCCUAACAUUGUCGGUGUAGUAGAAGAAGCAGGUAACAGAGAGGGUAUUCAGCUCUCAGACACUAAUGUCUUUGGGGACAUGAUGAAAGUUAAUAUCAUAAUUUGCUUACUUACGAGCAUUGCAGUCCGCUAAUACACACACUUGUUCCAUGAUUGUCUUCUCUACGUCUCUGAGUCUGGCCCGCAUAGCAAGCUCCGUGGGUGGAGUUUGGAUUGGUUAUGCAGGAAAUCUCACUUUGUCUGAGUCUGUCGUUUGGGUCUGCCAGAGAUUCGCAGCGAUUCGAAUACAGAAAUACUCAGAAAUGCAAUUUCGCAAUUAGUUUUCUCAUGAUAUGUCCUGUAGUAUCAGAAAAAUGUCAUCUAAACAGACAGCAAGAAAAACCUGAAUUUUCAUUGCAGUGGGUCUUUAAAUAAAAAAAUGCAUAUAAUAGAGAGCUCAUAUAUAUAAUGGUUGUCUAGCUCAUUAAAUAACAAAGUAGCUUCUGUAGCUGAAGUUAUACUAAUGUGGAAACAGACCUAGAUCCAAAUCAGUCCGGUGCAGCAGAGGAGGCGCUGCUGAAGAAGGUUUUCUUCAUACACAGAUAGACCUUCAAGUCAAGAGCAACACCAGACUCAAUGAUCAAACCUCCUAAUUUUGUUUCACAUCUGCAUUUCUGUCCAUAUUCAUAUUUACUUCUCUGUUUGUCUUACCAUUAGAUCAUUAAGUAGUGUGUUAAUUUAUCUAAUGAAUUUGAGGCACGCUAAUGUCUUGGUUACAACAUGGUAGCAAGUUACUGACAAAGCUACUACAGGCACACUAUUGUAGAGGUAAAUGUAUUGAUAUUAAAAGUUUAAUCCAGGCAAAGAUGUUAUUUCUAUAAGUAGCCACAGAAAAACAGGCACACCCCAGGAAAAAUAGCAAUGUCUUAGAUUUCUGAUUUUUCAGCAUGAGAGUGAAGAGUGGGACACUGAUCAUUGUUAAGGUCAAUACACAUGUAAUAAACACCAGAUAAAGCCUACUUUUAGUGGGAUACAGAGAAUACAUAGCCAGUUAACUCUUCAUAAUAAACAAAGUAAAUCUGUUCAAACACACCUUCAAAUGAAACACAGAUUAUGCUGGAGGGUUCCAUCUUUCUGCCCGCCUUGGUUCUCCUGGAGGAAUUGGUGAACUUGGGUCAACCCCUAGGGAAACCAUAAACAUGCUGGAGGGAUUAUCAUCCCAUCUGCUCUCAGAAAGCCUUAGGAUCUACCUGGAGGAGCUGAACUAAGUGGAUAGGGUGAAGAACUCUGGGUCUGUCUUUAUUGGCCUGUUACCAUUUGUUUUGUAUGCUUUCCUUAGAUUGAUUGGCCAGCAGCUGGAUAGAUGGUUUUGUGUUUAGGACAACAAAUAAAAUCACAUGAACAGCCACCCUGUUUUAAUAGGUGUAAAAACUGCCACAUUAAGGUGCACAAUUAAUGUGGGAAAGCAAGUUUUGUGUCUCACACAAAGGAUGGCCUUGCACAUUUUGAGGGGGCUGGCAGUGGUGACUGUAUCCUUGGACAAAAUAACACCUAGCAGUGGAACUGGGAUUCAAAGGUUACCUGCAAUGAAGAUGUCCUAUUUUAGAGAAAUUGCUCUUUUCUUCAAAUCAGCCUACUUUGUUUUUUAGGCAUUACUGCAGUUGUCUACUUCUUCCUGCGAGUGCCUGAACAAACUGUCUCGCAGCUUUUUCAUCAUGUCUGGAUGAACAAUUCUGUCUGCUCAUGUAGGACUGUGAUUCGUACCUCGCUGUCAGGAGCAUCAUUGCCUGUUUCUACGAUGAGAUGCUUGUUAGAGAAAUGGGAUCCAAAGUGCACCACAGGUCAGCCCAGCACCAUCAGGCAUUGCAACAAGAAGGCACAAAAUGUAACGUUAAUGCUGAAGUCAUUGUGCUAAAUUAAUGAGAAGCUGUCAAAAAUGUAAGGUUUGUUAUCUACAUGCAAAAAAACACUUUGAAACUGACAAUAUCUGGCAGUAUAACAAACUCUGAAAUGCUGAUGAUGCAUUCACAACUUCUCUGUUUUUUCAUCUCCCUGCUGUUUUUUUUAACUGCUCACUUAAUUGAUUUUACUUCAAAAAAUGUCUGCAUUUAUUCCCUUUUUUUCUUGGCGAUAUUGAGUCUUGAAAGCUCCCGCACAGAUUGUUGCUGUUUUUCAUAAAGUGUUUGUCUUAGAAGGUAUAGCAUAGAUGCAGCUUUAGGUAAGAUAUGACAUGGCCAUCAUAAUGUGUUUCAUGCCACUGAUAUAAGACUUUGUAGCAGCCUGUGCAACAAACAAACCAUAUGUUAGGAAUGCACUGAGGAAAGCUAUGAUUUGUCUGUAAAAUUGCUCUCUGUAAACAUAAAAAAGACUAUGACUCAGCCGUAGCAUUGAUGUACUGAACACAGCAAAUCUUUAGAAAAAGGGGGAAAGAAACUCCUGGGUAAAUUAUAUCCUUCAUGCGCCUGAUGUAUUUCUGUUAUAAAAGAUUGUAUUUUGGCAUUCUGAGCACUGGAUCUACAGCAGCUGUAGGAUUAUCUCCUUUCAUUUGAAGUUCAGGGAGGUUAGCAAGAAAACUGCAUCCGUCAGAGGAAGAUGUUUGUCAGAUAAUUGAUGUUUUGUUAAAGUCUCGGCUAUGAUACCGGGAUGAUACAGACACAGUGAGAAUUCAGAGGCAGAGGGGUUUCCUUUCUUUCCCGUGUAGGCUUGACAUCGACAUAUUGAUAUCCUCCAUGUGUAUGUGUUGCCGUCUUUGGUCCAAUAUGUUUGAUCUAAGAUGUCUGUAAGACUAUGUGAGUGUAAUUUUUCAAUAUACAGUGAAUAAGUAGAGUGUGGUUCUUGAAUAAGAAAACAUGCAUGUUUGCUUCUUUUCACAAGAUAACGAUUAUUUUAUCAUUUGUAGGUCACGUGAUUUAAAGCAGUCAUCUAAUAAGGACGUCUAAUGGGUAACAUGUUUGUGAAAACUGUGAGUAAAUCAUGAAUUUGGCAAUAUAAUAUCUGUAUAACUAACAAAUGUUGACAACUUAUACACUGGUCAAUGAUUUGUAUGCAGUGUAAAUGACUUCUUGUCUAAUUGCUGAACUAAACAGUACAUUACAAACACCACAAAGAGCUGAGCAGAUUAGCAGUCUCAUCUCAAAUCAUCUCAGAUUGGUUAUUUUAACUUGAGUUGUGAUAGAUAUUUCCAUUAUAUAACAACAGGGGCAGCGCUAGAAAUUUUGAGCUCAGCAGAAAUAUGUCAGCCCCCCACCCCACUUCACAACUGCAGAUAUUUAAGGGUCUCUGUCAUUCAUGGGCCCUAAGUCCCCCCUCUCCAGUACACCUCUGCUCAGAGACAUUAUGUAAGAGAGAUAAUUUAUCAGGAGAAAUGAGUCAACUUGAAAUGUAAUUUUUUAUAAAGCUCAGCAGUAUAACAGCUGCUGUCACACUGCCUUUGUGGACACCAUGCCAGUGUUUUUGAUCCCGAGGAAUAAGUUGACAAUCACUGACUCCUGAUAUCGCAGCGACCAUUGUCACAAGUAUACUGUUGGUGAAAAUUUUUCAUGUCAGCGGCAUAAAUGUCUUUUUCUGAAAUAUUGCUAUUUUCAUCUGCAGGAUUUUAGGAUGCUGUUGUGUCAUGAACAACACUUUGACCACCAAGUAAGGACGGAAACCAUCAUUUUUGAAGAAAAUAGGUUGAGAAUGAGAUUGUUAAACAUGACUGUAAGAGCUACAAAACCAAUGCAGCUCAGUGUUUUUGAGUUUCUUUUUUUUUUUUUUUUUUUGUCGCUGGAUUUAUUUCUCAGUGUCACUCCUCCAUUACAAACCAAGAAGAGGUUGGACCUUAUGGUAUGAACUUCAUCUGUAAUGAUGACCAAGGAGACAGUAAUAGGUAACAACUGUACCACAGAAGGUAUAAUUUUUACUCAUAAUUUCCAGGUCAUAAGUUGCAGGGUUUUUUUUUUUAUUCUUUUGAAAAUUAUUCGCCAUCCUUUUAUUUUGAUAUUUUUUCUGUCCUGCAUUCAUGUUAUUUAAUUUCCUACAAAACCUUUUAUUUAUUUUGAAGUCAAAGCUACUUCAGUAGAUUGUAAGUUAAAAAACUAAACUAAAACAGCUAGCAGAAGGGUCAAAAAAGUAUAAAUGUUUGAUUGACUAGAAACCUGGGUAGGCAAAAACUCUAAAAUUGCAUCUGGAUUUUUCAACAAGUGAUAGGAUUUUAGUUUUCAAAGUGCUGAAUCAUCUCUAGGAGAGCUGCUUCACUGUCAUCUCUCCAGUGUUGUAUGACGUGUGUCGACCAGUAUACAGGACCUCAACUAUGAACUCACAGUUUUGUAGUUUUCUAAUAUUGUCAGCUCGUUAUUAAUAUGUCAUAUUCUAAUGACAAUAGUUGCUGUCAAUAGAAGAAAAGAAGAAGAUAGAAUGUAUUUAUCUCUGAAGGGAAAUUUAAUGUAUAAUAUACAAUGUACAAUACCUGUAUUAUCAAAAUGUGCCAAAUGGUCAUUGCUAUAGGUGGUAGAAGAAGGGGAGACCAGGGACAGUUGCAACAAGGCUUAUUCCUGCAAUCAGAAACAUGCUAGAUCCUCUAUGUUGUUUUGUCUUGUACAGCACUUUGUUCAGCUGUGGUUGUUUUAAAGUGCUUAACAAAUAAAGUUGAGUUGAGUUGAGAUUGAUGACACUGAUACUGCAGAUGCUAAGUUGGAACCCCCCCACCCCCCACCCUCACCUGCAGGACAAAAGACACAUUACAUUUAGCAUCAAUCUGGAUUUAUUGGGGGAAAAAAAUGUUUUUGAUGUAUGAAAGUAGUUUUUUUUUCAUGUAGUGUGUUUUUGUCAUACCAUCCUGACUGUUUAAUUUAACCAAGUUACAUGGUUAGCAUUUGUUAAAAACAGUGAGUUUAGUUAGUACAUGGUGUCCUGUCAUGGCUGACCACCACACGCUAGUGCAUAAAGGUAGAAUUCACAAUCCACUUACUAAAAUUAAAAUCUGUAACAUCUGCACAUAUACUCAAGGUAAGCCUAUGUUUUAUGCAGAAAAAAACAAAACUCAAUAUUGAAUAUCAGAUUAAUGAAUAAAUAAUACUGUAACAUUUUUUAUAUUAAAUUAUCAUUAAUAUACAAUUAUAAAAUAUACAAUAUACAUCAUCAUCACAACUUUUUGAAACUGAAUGGAUCUGUGACAUGUUGCAACUGUCCCAGGGAUGGGGUCAGAGAAACAAAAAUUUACCAUAUAAAUAAAUGGUUGGUCUAGUCCAAAUCAUCUCUGAGUAAUUGAAAGAGAAGCAAAAAGUGUUGCAACUGUCCCCAGUCUCCCCUACGUUAAGCAGCUCUCAUGGCCAUGCAACAUAGGUGAGAGAUUCUCUGAGGUUGGAAAUGCUGACAAGGCAUGAAGAGUGUUUCUUACAGCCUUAACAGAAUAAGUGAUAUAGUCAUACUGAAAAAUAGAACCAUUAUUGGGAGAAGUAGAGAUCCAAACACCACGUUUCCUUUAGCAGUGUGUAAGAGAGCUGUUAGUCAGCUGAAAGUGAACUCCGUACAGAGUUGAAGGUUUGUAGCUUUCUAGACAGAAGUCCUUGUAAGUCUCAUUGAUUCGGCUAAAGCUCUAAAAUGUUUCUAACUCAUCCCUGAAAUUAAGACAACACAGAUGGUAAAGGCAGGCCCAACCUGUGAGGGAGUGUGUGUUCAGCAGUAGGAUAUCUGUUAGUUGAAGAGGUUGGAAAUGAAAAACUCCUGUCACACCUGUGUCUUUGGGGCACAGAAAUGUGUAAAUGUGGGCAGUGGGGAGUGUGUCUAAUACUGUGAGUGUGUCCAAUAAGGGGAGGUAUUGACAGCCAUAUGGGCCUGUGUAAUCACUGCUGGUAGGAUUCAUUGCUCGUAAAUAUAUAAUUCAAAGUAGCGUGGGGCAAUUUUGAUUUUAAUUAAAAAAGACCCAACCUUUUUAGAAGUCUUCGUCCGUCUCCCUUCCCGUUGAUGAAUUGGAAAUGAAUGCGCCUCCAAUUCCUGCAAUUUUUAAUUAGGUUAUGUUAUGGGGAGGAAAAAGCAAACUUGUGUGGAAUUGAAUUAGUGUGGGCCAGAUGUGACCGCUUCCUGGUUUAUCAGCUUUCUGGACGCCUCCCUCUCUCCUGAUCCCCCGCAGCACCCUGUACAGGAAGCGCAGAGGAAGGAGGAGAGAGUGAGGGGAGAAGGAGGGCGUGGGAGGUAGGGAUAAGGGGGUAAGAGGUGGUAGGCGGAAGUGUGUUUUGAAUUGGAGGCGUAUGCAGUGAGGCUGUGUACAACCCCUGCGGUGCAGGUUGUGUAGAGAGGGAAAUCAUUUUUCCUGCUGAGAAACAUUUCCCCAUGUGAACUUGACACCCCCUGCCCCAUGUAUACUUUCACACUGUCAUUUUCCCCUCCUCUCUUUCACAUUCACAAUGUCAUUUUCUUUUUCUUUUAUCUUUCUUUACUCCGCUUUCUCCUGUAAUGCUAGCAAACCUCAUCUUUACUCUCAGUGAAGGGUAUAGGAAAACCUUAAAGCGGUAUCUUCUGGCUGCAUUACUGUACGCUGCUGGCUGUGUGGUGUAACAGAGAGGAUUUGCGCGCUGUACGAGCAAUAAACAUUUUUCUGAGGUUUUUGACUUCCCUGCUUGGCCAUUUCAUGUGCAUCGCUCCCUAAAAUGACCCUAGAAGAGCCUGAAUGCGGGGAACACCGAGCAAAGUGAAGACGAUCUCAUUUUCCUCUCCUCUUCUCUUUUUGUGUCUCCAGGGGCUUUGGGCUAUAAACGACGUGCUCUAUGGUGCAAGCCCCAUCCCAUUCUUGCCAUAUGCCCUCCUCCAAUCUUCCCACAAUCCCCCUGGGGAGACCUGGGCCCUCCACUUCGCCUGCCCUGUCACAGGAGAAAAUUACCCAACUGGCAGCAUAUUUGUGACAGUUUAGUGAACACUCGGUCUAAGAAUAUGGCAGUAAAGAUUGCUCUAUCGGUUCUGGAUCAUUUAGAAUCCAAUUUAAUCCAAGCCGGGAGGAAAAAAGGCCAAAUAAAAACAAAAGGCCUUAAUUAAGAAGGCUGGGUGAUUGUAGGCCAUUUGUUGGGCAGGUCACUGUUCAAUCUGCUUUUACACUUUGUCACUUAGGGGACAAAUCUGAAUGCAGUGUAUGUGAAGAAAUGUAACCAGAACAGUUAGGGUGAAGAACGAUGAUUUUAUCAGCGAGGAAAGUUUGAAAAGGUUUCAGCUGAGGUAAACAUAUUUACUAGCAGACCUCUGUCACUGAAGUAUCUUGUUUAUAUCUGUGUCCGUGCUCGCAGACGUGUUCAUAGAGAGAAUUGAAGAAUCCCUGCGCUACUUUAAGGAUGACAUAUAAACAGAGUCUGAGAUUUGAAGGCUGCUUCAAGCUUAGCAUUAUGUGAUGAAAGAGCACAUCUGCAUUAGUCAGCCCUUAAGCCCCCACCACCACUGGAGAGUGCGCAUCUGCGUUUGCAUCCUCUGAUGGUCCGCACUUGCUAAUGGAGAUGGAUUCAUGCAGCGCUGGAAACCCAGCAGCCCUCCUCCCCACACUGUACACCCGACUUGGCCACAUCAUUUCUCUCCCUGGCUUAAUGUGCUGGUUCUCUCCUCUGAGGCUGUUAGGUAGGUUGUAACUUGUCUCCUGACACCCCCCACACUCCCACCUACCCCUCCUCCCUUUGCCAGUGAAAACAUCUGCCCCCCUACAGACUCCUGUCUGACAGCUUGGAGGAUAGAUGGAAAGUUCUCAUCCUCUGCCGCAAGCUGUUUUGUAUUCAAAUAGCCUCCUUGUUAAGUCUCCCCUACAGACAAUGGUUUUGUUGUGUUGUAGCCAAAGGCUAAGGGAGCUUAUGUGCCUAUGAGUUGGCCUGAGAGUCUAGUUACAGCAUGUUUUUGGUGUGGGCUGCUUCAAUAUUUUGUAGCAGGAGAUUCAGUGCUUUUCCUUCUCUUGGCUCACUUAAUUGAAGCUCUGGUUGUGGGCUUGUCAGAGUCGGUUGCCCUCAGUAACUGAUGGAGGUGAUCAGGCAUUCAGUGUGGGAGAGCCAAGCACGGCUAAUAGAGUUGAAGCCAUUGGUCAGUCUUUACAUAAUCAGAUGGUAUUGACAUGGCUAGAAAGAAUGUCAAUAGCCAUGUUUGUGCUGACACUAGCUUAUAGAGCUCAAUCUUCAGUAGAGAUUAGAUUUUCUCCCCUGAAAGACUUUGUGUCAUGUUAAUGUGUGUAACUGUCUGCUUUAUGCCAGCAAGUUUGAAUCUGUGUGUCGGGAGGAAUUGGAAAAAAAGUUUGAAAGAGUGUUUCUAAACUCUGCUGUUAUAGUGACAUGAAGGUAUUCAGGAAGUGGUUUGACGACUGUUAGCAGGGAGGAUGGCUGAAUGUAACGUCAACCCUCAUUUUCUACUUCAACAACUACUAUUUUUCCCUCCAUAAGAACCACUAAUGUCAUCCAUGAUUUUAUACAGACUUGUUGAACAGAGAAGUCAGCCCUCAGCUCUCUAGACAACAUGUCCUCUUACAGCAACCUACGCCUAGAGCAACAUCUUUGGCUCUUGCUUCAAAAUAGGUACUAUUUCAGUACAAAGUAACUUUAGGGAGUAACGAAGGGAAACUUAAAGUUUUGGGCACUUGAAUCCCUUACACAGCAUCUGCAACUCCAUUUCAACUGCUUCAAACAGCCGAAUCAUCACCAGAGCUUCUCUUUGGGGAUCUUCACAUACAUCGAGGUGAGGAUCCCUCCCCUUGCACCCCCGCCACAAGUACAGACAGAUGUACAGAUUUUUGAUCCAACAAUCUGUUUGAGAGGUGGAAUGCUUAAAGUUCUUCAUCAUCAAAGCAAAGGUGAGAGGUACCAUUCAUACAGACUGGUUCAACCAUCACUCCCAUCUACAAGUUCACUGUCAGGUCUCCACUAUCAUUAUUUCCACCCUAACACGACCAUCAUGAACAUUUUUGUACGGCUUUAUCUCAUUUUUCUCUGAAGUUGAGUUGGUUUUGUUGGAUAGUAGAUGAACUAGAUAACAAGCUGCCAUUUCUGCCGUGGAGUCUUCUCAAAACAUGUGGAAGCUUGGAUUGACUUUAAGAGGUGCUACAAAAAGCAAAUUAUUCGCUUUACAAACUCACUGGUGUGUAACGACCUGAACAGGCUGCACAGAAGACAAACAAGAAAAGAGUCAAAACUAUUAUAAUUACUGAUAAGUUUGCCUCUUCCUUCUUCAUGUAUUUUCUAAUCGAUCCACAGGUGAUGACUGAAACGAUCCUGUAAAUAACCUUUCUCAUCUUGCUAGCAUGCUAAUUAAGUAGCUGCUUAUAAUUAUUACAGCUCAGUUGUGGUUGCAAAUGAUCAUAAAUGAUGAAAGUGUAUUUGCUGAUUGAACUAGUCUGUUGUCAUUAAAUGCAGCUGUUGAAUAUUGUACCUUGCAUGGUAAACAUUGUAACAACACAAAUGUGCAGCAGAUACAGUUAACUCCUGUCUUCAUUCCUCUAUAUGUAGUCCCUAAAUCUCUAUGAUAACUUUAAAUGAUACUAACAUCAUUUGUCUAGAGAUUUUUAAUCCAGCUAUCCGUUCUGCUUUCAUAGUCUGCAGACAGAGGCAGAUGCUGAGUUGCCUCUGCAGCAAUGGUCGAUAUCCAAAACAGUGCUGUGCACAAGCGGCUCAGCUCAUUUCUGCAGCAUUCUCUAAUCACCCACACAAUAGGUCAGUAUAAAGCUUUGGAAUCUCAACAUGAAGAGGCAAAGACAUGUCAUUGUUCUUCAUACAACUAAAAGCAAAGACUGAAGUCUGGCACAAGAAGUUCUUAAAAAGUUACUAUAAACACAUGGUGUGAGUUGUGGUUAACAAGUUGGAUUUGCUUCAGUUAAAGCUGUAAAAGGCAAGUCCAAAAGAGUGACGGACAGCAAGUGAGAUGUUGACUCUGGCUGCCGUGUUGGCUGUUACUUUUCCACAUGCCAGCUCCUAUCCUGGCCACUUUCUCAUUCUGAGUGCCAACUGUGCCCCUGAGCCCUGCGCCUGAAUAUGGAUGCCCUGCUCGCUUAAACACUGUGCCACAUUGCUCCCUCUUCCCCUCCUUCGCCUCCUGCUUAGACACUAAUUUUCUUCACCUUCUUCAUCACCUUCAGUCUUUUUCAACUAGGUUGAAACCUGCUUUUGAAGUGUUUAGCAGAAUAUUAAAGACCUAAGCAUCAUUUUAGUGUUUUUAGUGUCUACGCGUUGUACAUAACUGUGAUUUCCUCCACAUGCUAAUGAGGUAUAACAUAAUCUCCCCCUGCUUUGACUUGUUAAUCUCUCUUUCCAUCCACUCUUUUUCAUCACUCACUCUUUUCCCCUCGGAUAUCUCACUUGCACCACCCCCCUCCACCUCUGUCCAGCUCUUUUUUGGUAUUCUGGCAGAGCGCUUGCACUCCCGCCACCUCGGCCGGCUCGUUGAGAGAGUGAGUGCCAGAGAUCUGACCUGCAGUUGAUUCUCUGCCAGUACAGGUCUCUGAUGCCCCAGUAGGGAUGGCAGCAUGGCAUUAGCUGAGCUCAGCACACAUACAUUUAAACACACUCACACUCAUCAUGUGCACAUACACACACACUCACACUCACACACAUACUGGCACCUCACUGUCACAAGUAAGCGCUGAAGAAGUCUCACCUUCCUUUUCCCCUUUUCCUCUCAGUCUGCUGGAGCUUCUUUCACCUCUCCCCAACUCUUCCUCUUGGCUCGCUUCCCCCACCAAAAAAGUCUCACUCCCCUGCCAGCCUCUUUCCUCACACCCUGAGUUUUGCUUCAGACACCGCCACUGGGGAAGUCCUCACUCAUCGCUGCUCAUCUUGUUUCAUACCCAAAUAACACAACUUCACAAGGAGAUUCUGAGCCAAGGGGGCUUAUUUUGGUCUCACAUGCUAGUUCUUAUCAAACAUGUUCAAAAGACAUGAAAAGGGGGCUGAAGGUCAGAGAAUAAAGAGGAGUUCCUUCACAUAAAUCCAGGUAGUACGUUGAUUUCUUAGUGUUUACCUUGUCACAGACUGUACAGUGCACCAAAGUCACAAAAAUUUGACUCUUUGGCGCACUCAGUGCUCUUUUGGAAACACUCACACUCUCCCUUUUUUUAUGCACCGGCAGAUGACUGAAUAGAGAGUGAAAAAGCAGAAUGCAUAGAUUUGUCAUUUUUGUGCAUUGGCUUGCAUGCAUACUUACACGUGGGUGUAUGUUUGCACAGGGAUUUCUGUCAGCUUCACCCUGCACAGUCUCUAGAGGCAAAGGGAUUACAGUGAAGAACCUCCUGCAUGAGCAGUGGUGGGGAUAACUGCAUAUGCACUGCACUCCUCUGACAAUCCCCUCUUUGGCUGCCUUCUCCCUCAGAUCCAAACAGGGGAUUUGACACGGGAUCUUGCAGCUGCAUUGACACUUCAUCUCUGUGCCUCCCGCUGCGAUCUGUCAGCAGAUCUGCUGUGGGGAUCUAUGCAAGAGCAGCCUGAAGGGAAAUGUGUUUGAACUGCUGUGGUGAGACACAUGUAGUGCACACAGGCUGCGGCUGAAUAAGCCUGAGCGGGAAUGACCUCUUGGUUUGUGAGGACUGAGGGGUUUACAGGAGGCUUUGAAUACUACCUGCCCUUAAAACAAGUGGACAAGUAAGUUUCUUAUUUCGAUAGACAAAAAGUUCUUCUUUAGUUGCUGACGGUCUUGGACUGUGACUAAAACUUUUAGACAAUAUUACAGAAACGAUUUCUACCCAGACAGACCUUUUAUUAAGCUAAGUUGUUUUUUUUCAACUAGAAAAAGCAAUUUUAUUGCUCCCUUCAAUCCCCCCAGGACUCCACUGCUAAAAGACAGUAAUUUUAUCUUACAGAACUCAGGCUUUUGAAGCAUUUCAGCUCAUCUUUAAUCUGUUGUCAGGACUUUUUCAACUGGUUAUUGAUAUACAAGCUCAAUUUUUCUUAUUAAUAUACAUAUGAUAGACGAAUGCAACUAAGCCAUAACCUUAUGAGAAAACUGUUUUUAUCUAUGUGCUAUUUUUUUAAACAAGUGAAGUAAGUUAGCCAAUUAAGAGAUUUUUGUGCAAAUACAGAACAGAAUCAGUGAGAGGAUAAUGUACAUGGCUUGGCCUGCAGGGGGUGCUAAAAUAAAGACAAAACAGCAAAUUCCUUUACAGCUGCUUUGACAAGAACAUUGCUUGUCUUUGCACAGAUUUUCUUUUCUGAAGAAUCACAACAUCUGAACCUCUUUGUUGUCAUUAUGCUGAAAAUGUAUUAUAAAGAUAGGAGCAUCCCUCCUGUUUAGUGCCUAUAAGACACUCCUUCACAGUCAAAGAAAAAGACUCACGUAUAUUAGCAAACAGCAUGAAAGGUUCCCCUUGUGGCUGGCUGCAGUAAAGGUCCACCUCCUUCGUUUGAAUAGAAGGAUCAUAAGUCAAACGUUAAAAUUAAAUUGAAAUCUUAUCAUGCUGAUCUAUAUGUAAGUGUUAAUUUUCAGAAACGUUUGGUUUUGUUUAGUUAUUUGAUCUUGAGAAGGACAAAAAGGAGCUACCUCAGUGCACUGAAAGGCCCACUCCAAUCAUUUUUUUCUACUUCAAGUGUUCUCAGUGGUCUUUAAAUUGUGAUUAUUGACAAAGUUUUUAGCCAAAAUUACGUUACCUGUGCCAUUUUAAAGGGCUUUUGUUCUGCAGAGCUCCUGUAGCUCAUUAGCAAUUUGUCUCUGAGUCGUGGGCGGAGACAGCACUGCUCUGCACACUUCUCUGUAUGUUAGCUUGCAGCCUAGCGCAGUGGAAGUGGCAGGUAACAUAGGAGCUAUUCAGCUCUCGGACACUAAUGUCUUUGAAGACAUGAUGAAUGUUAAAAUCAUAAGCUUUUUUUUUUUUACGAGCAUUGCAAUCUGCUAACGCACACACUUGUUCCGUGAUCAUCCUCUCUUUUUCUCUGAGUCUGGCCAGUUUAGCAGAGCUCUGGGGGUGGAGCUUGGAUUUGUGGUGUAGGAAAUCUCAUUGUAUCUGGGCCUGCCAUUUGGGUCUGUGAUAGAUUCACAAUGAUUUGAAUGAAGAAAUACUCAGAAAUGCAAUUUUUCACUUAAUUUUCUCAUGAUAUGUCCUGUAGCAUCAGAAAAAAUGCCACAUGAACAUGUAGACAACAAGAAAAGUGGGUCUUUAAGUAGAGAAGAGGAGAUAAUGUAUUCAAGAGUAUUCAAGAGUCACUGAACUUUUUAUUAACUCAAGUUUCUGCAUCAAUCAGCACAAUAACCCGAUGUCUUAUCAUUAAGUUCAAUGAGUAUUUUGCUGGGGAGAUGUGGAGAGGACAGUCCUGUCAGUCCCAUGGCUGUCAGAUCACUUCUGUGCAUGCCUCAGCUUCACCAGUGCAAUAUGCCAGCGCCCAUGGAGGCAGUGUUAUGGCUCCACAUCGCACAAUGGGAGGAGAUGGAGGCACGGUGUCCAUAUUCAUAAGCAGUUAAUGACUCACACAGACGAAGCUCACUCCAAUAUCAGCCCAUCAUAUGAGCAGUUUUUCCUGGAAAUUCUUCAGCCAGGCUCAUUUGCCCCGAAGGCUUCUGUUGUGUCAUUACAGCCGGUCUCUUGGGUGCCAUCUGAAGCCAUCUACUGAGGCCUUUCAAGAACGUUUUGUUCCCAUUUGUCAUCAAGACACCAGUGACUGUACAUUAAAUAGGGCUCAAAUUUCAAAAUAGAGGAAUUUGAACAUUUGUGAAGUGUCCCUUUAAAAGGAGGGGGAGGGCAAAUUAUGCGUUAAGCUCCAUUUGAACCCUAGAGCAGUGGCAUUAAACAAAAGGAAAACACUAAAAUAGAAAACAAUAGAAUUAGAUCAUAAAAGAAAGAUAGAAGAAAAAAAAAACAUCACAUUUUAAGUUAAAAUACUCUCAAUCUGUCACAGACAUGAAACCUGCUCUGAGCAGCUGGCACAGUCCUCUGAAGGCACAGGCACACCAUCUCUUCAUCUCUAAAUGCACUCUGUGUAAUAGUCAUCCAGUGAAAUGACUCAAACUUUCUAAAUCUGACACUUGUAGCCAUCACUGAAAAGUAAAGGUUGAAAUAAGAUGUCUAUUAAACCAUAACCUGCUGGGAACUGCACUAUCCUCACUCUGCUGCUGCUGCCAUUACACUUCAGCAAAACUUAUGAAACUUUUUCUGAAAGAACUCAGGUGAGCUGUGGUAAAAAUGUUCACCCUGAAUGAGCCUGGAGUUUCUCCUGCCUGUCAGUCUUCAUACAAAUGUGUGGUCAAGUUGGAGUGAGCCUGUGUGUAGGGCUGCACGAUUAAUUGAUUUUAAAUCAAUCAGAUUAUUUGAUUAUGACAAUGUUAAAAAAAAUUAAAAUCGUCAAUCAUUCCUCUCUAUCAUGUCUCAUGCCUCCAGGCCCCCAUAGGCUCCCCCUUCCUGCGGGAGUGCUCCCCAGUUCCCGCACACACCAGUGUAAACAAACAUGGUGUUUGCAAAAGAAGGAAAUAAUUUCAUGGCUAAAUAGGGCAAAAGCAAGUCAGUCAUGUGGAAUUGGUACGGCUUCGCAGUUUCGGAUGAAGAGCAAACCGCUCCUCGCUGCAAGGUCUGUCUGAAGGCGGUAUCAACCCGUCUACAGAAAAACCAAUUCAGUUGUAAACGCCAAAGAUUUUUGCCAUAACUGCAUUUCAUCCGCAUGGAAGGUGACUGUAAACUGUACUUUUUGAAAAUGGGUCAGACAGUGCAUACAUCCGUCAAUGACUACCAUUUCAUCUCUGUGUGGAUGACUAUCUGCAACUCUUUUAUGGCGACUGCACAUGUCUGGCCAAAACAACCUUUAUACGCAUAGUCUGUACUCUUCUUCUGUCUUUUGUGCAUUUCCCGGGCAGAGUUACAGUGCCACUUACUGGCUUGGCAUAUGCACAACAUUUUUUUAAUGGUUUCGUUUUGAGAGAUGAUGAGUACACAUUUUAAUAAAGAUAAGUUUGGUGAAGUUAUCGCUGAAUAAAAAAUCGAGUUGUCAAAGAAAAAAAUUGGGAUUUUACUUUUGGCCAAAACCAUGCAGCCCUAGCUGUGUGAGAACACAGGAAAUCUUCAGUCAAAUUCACAGAGAGGGAGUGGGCAGCAUUAGUUGAUAAACUAUGCCUUUGGUGCUCAAGUCUUGUCAAGUUUAGCUGAUUGGUUGGAAAAGGCUACAUUUAAAGGGAGCUGUUAGCAGAAACUAUAAAGUGUGCUAUUGGUCAGAAAAUAGUAGGAGAACAAGUAGUGGAAGGUACACACUCUGUAUUCCUCUAAAUCAAUUUAAAAUCUCACCACAUACAGGGAGUUGAUAUAAAGUUUGUGAACUGAAGACAAAUCACUUCAACUUUUUUUCACUGUGGAUAAAUGAUCCUCAGACAACCCUUCUGGUCUUUUAGGUGAUUGUUCCUGGUGUUUUGCUGGGUUUCUCUUUGUUAACACAAUCCAAUCAUGCAGAUGGAUGUUCACAUCAUUCAAGGAGGAUCUCUUUGUGAUCGUCUAAAAAUGUAAAAUGACUCAAAUCAUAAAUUAGCUCUUAGUGCUUCCUUUGUAGCUUCUGCCUUGUCUCUUUCAUGGUUUGAUGUAUUUUUAACCUUCAACAGGACAGAGGAUAUGACAGCAGGCAUAUGCAGCUUUAAGCUACCACUGGCGUCAUGUGGUGAAACAUGGCUUCCUCUAAAAAUCGGCUAAAAGAGGUCUGUCAUUGAAGCUAGUCUCAGCUGAACACAUUCAGAAAUCUCAGAGCAGAGCCCUGGGAGUUAUAAUCUCUCAUUAACAAAAUCGUGAAUGAUGUAAUUUCUCCAAAGAAUGGUGUUACAUCCCUCCAAGAGCGCUCCAGUAGCUUGAAGGAUUUAUGCUUCAGUGCUUUGCUUUCUUUCUUUUUGCAAUUAGCUCUAAUUUGCUGUGAUCUCGGUGGUGGCCCUAGCCUGCAGUCAUUAUCCUUUGACCUUGCAUGUGAGCAUUUGUGGCUGUUUGGUGACUGUAGAUAGCUGCACACCGCCCCCACAGCGCGACGAUCGUACACACAAGAACUGCGGCACCUUUUUCCUGAGCCUUUGUAGUGCAACUGAGUGUUACCGAAUCCUUCCUGCCACUGUCAGAGAUAAUUGGCACUCCAUAAACACAUGAUAAUUGGACCGCUUUGAUCCCUGCAAUUUCUCACUUCUUGGCCAAAGAGGCGCAGCAGUUCUGUCUCAUGUUUACCACUCGUCUUUAUGUGGCAGCGAGCAGAUACACAGAGUGAAAGAGGCAGAGAGAAAGAGAGAUUCUCGUCUUCCUCUGAAGUGUUAAAAGCCCCCUACAGGCAACAUUUCCUGCUCCCAGCCUCUUUAGCCAUUGUUCCUCGGCUGCUUAUGGCCAUGACUCAUUACAAACUUCUCUUUCGCACACAUGCAGGGCUUAAUCAUGUUGUGAAAAGUCUCCAAAUAAUCUUCUUUCUCUGUGUUUGUCUGUGUUUGUUUGCCCAGGGAACUAGAGAGCUUCAUCCAGGAGAAGUACUGAAACUUGAAGAAAACUUCCCACUGGACUAGACCAACACUUCUCUGUGAGGUAAGCCUUCUCUGAACUUUGGUUAUUUGUUCAACAGAGCUCACGCUGUUCAAUUUUUAGCUCUAAAUCUCCCCCACCCCCCAAAAAAAUCCACAGCACAGGCUGCUCAUUUAAAAAUGAUAAUCCUGAUUAUACUGCGAGAUCAGAAGUAUUAUUCAUCAAAUCAGAUAUUAAACCGUUGCAGACAAACACUGAUUUCUAUUUCCAGCCAGUCUUCACGUAGGAUCACGCUGAUGCUGAAAUGUGUGUGCAUUAGCAGACCUGCUUUAAUUAUCCCAGAAUGAAUCCCUUUAAUUGAACCUUAGAAAAGAAAAGUGUUCAAAACCUGCAUUUAUAUUUCAUUUGUGAUGUUUUUCCCCUCGGAGUGAUCACAGCUGCCUCUUUUUAUGCAUCACUACUACUCAUUGUAUGUCCUGUUAGUGAAUAAUGUAUGUUUUUAUUGGUACUACACUGCCUCUGGGUUCAGAUAUUUCCCCCUCUUUCUCUCUUUCCCUCUCAGCGCUAACAUACGAACUGAUUGUCAUUCAGCCGGCAUGGCGUCUUGGCUCUGAGUCCUCUGAUCCAAAGCGGGCUGCUGCUGCUCCUCAUUGAAAACUCCCUUGUUGUUUUUCAGCUGUAACACAGGGGGCAGCAGAGGUCAACUGUCCUCUCCUCCUUUCUCUGCCUCUCUCUCUCACUCUCUUUCUCUCUUUGGUCCCUCUCUGCUCCUCAUAACAGAGCGGUGCCGAGAAGAGGUUAAACUUUCCGGAUAUGUUAAUG